rnacentral:lncRNA from 1 species
UGCUAAAAUCCUUUGCCACCUGCCAAAAGCAGGCCAGUCGGCAAAUAUACACUUUGCCGACCGCUCCUAAAAGCAGUCGGCAAAGAAUUCUUUGCCGACUGUCCAAUUAUCCUGGCAGGUGGCAAAGAAAAGCAGUCGGCAAAGACGUCCUUUGCCGACUGCCUGGCAGGUGGCAAAGAAAAGCUGGUGACAAAGAUGGCGGGACACUGACGACGCCCAUCGCCGUCCCCUUUGCCACCUGCCAGGCUGUUAGGCAGUCGGCAAAGAUAAAAUUUUUUAUUUUUGAAAUUUGAAUUUAGGUUUUGAAGUCAUCAUUUGCUCCAAACUUCCUCAACCUUUUUUUAUAGCCUCCACAUGCAAUAAGAGUGAACCUUAAAAACUUUCAUGAUUUUGUGACCCUUUUUGCUAUAUUUUGUUAAUUAAUUUCUUUUAAUAGUAUUUUCCACCGCAGAAUCCUACUUUAAACUGCAGGUGCAUCAAAUAAUGAAACUUAGCCAUUCGAAAAAUAGUAUUAAUAUUGGAGAGUCUAUUUUAAGGUUGUUUCUAGAAAAUCACCCAAAAUUUUGACGUCCUUAUCCACGGAACAUGACCAUCCAGGUAUGGUACACGUGCUUUUUAAUUAUAUAAAAUUCAAACGAAGUCGGAAAAUUACGAAAUUUGACGAGGUGUUAUGUUCUCAUACGUGAAGUUUAUGAUAAAAGUUUGAGAAAAUUUGGCGCAAGUUGCGAUGUCGAAUGUCCAAAACCCACACAUCUCCACAUGUGAUCACAUGUGAACGCAUGGGAGAUAUGUGGGUUUUACACAUAUGACGUCGCAACUUUCUCUAAUUUUUUUAAAAUUUUUAUCAUAGGCUACACAUGUGAUAACUUGACAACUCAACAAGUUUCGUAAUUUUUCGACUUAGUUUGAAUUUUAUAUAAUUAAAAAGCACUUAUACCACACCUCGAUGGUCAUGUUACAUGGAUAAGGACUUCAAAAUUUUAGGUUAGUUUCUGGACACGACCUCAAAAUAAACUCUCCAACAUGAAUAUCAUUUUUCUAAUGUCUAAAUUUUAUUAUUUCAUAUACUUGCAGUUUAAAGUUGGAUUAUACGACGGAAAAUCCAAUUAAAAGAAAUUAAUUAACGAAAUAUAGCAAAAAAUAUUACAAAAUUACGAAAUUUGUCAAGGUGUCAUGUUAUUAUAUGUGGAGGCUAUGAAAAAAAAUUGAGAAAGUUUGGAGCAAGUUGGAAUAUCGAAUGUCCAAAACCCAUAUCUUCACAUCUAAUCGCUUGUGAACACAUGCGCGAAUGUCUAGGUUUUAUACAUCUGACGUCACAACUUUCUCUAAACUUUUUAAAAUUUUUAUCAUAGGCUACACAUAUGAUAACAUGACAACUCAACAAGUUUCGUAAUUUUUCGACUUAGUUUAAAUUUUAUAUAAUUAAAAAGCACUUAUACCACACCUCGAUGCACUACUGCAGACAGCGCCUUUGCCGAGCGCCUGGGACGCUCGGCAAAGAGCGAUUUGCGCUCGGCAAAGUCUUUGCCGAGCGUGGCGCUCGGCAAAGAGGUUCCGGCAAAGAAACGCUCGGCAAAGGCUUCUUUGCCGAGCGUCUUUUAUCGGGCGCUCGGCAAAACCUUUGCCUAGCGCCAAAAAGGCCUUCGGCAAAGAAAAGCGACGGGCAUGACCGUUAUGCACCGUGACACUUUCUUUGCCGAGCGUCUUCACUCUGCGCUCGGCAAAGAGCAAAUUUUUUUUUGAAAAUUCCUUUGCCUAGCGCCUAAAAGACAACGCUCGGCAAAGAGGAAAUUAAUUUUUUUUAAAAAAAACUUCUUUGCCGAGCGCCUCCAACAACGCGCUCGGCAAAGAGGAUAAAAAUUGUUUUUUUAAAAAAGUCUUUGCCUACUGCCUCCAACCUGGCGCUCGGCAAAGCUGGGUAGGUUGCUGUUGUCCCACGCCAAAGAUUCCAGCUUUGCCUAGCGCGGCGCUCGGCAAAGACUCUUUGCCUAGCGCUGCGCUAGGCAAAGCUGGAAUCCGUUUUUUUUUGCUUUCUUUCACUGCAAACACAGCAAAUCAUAUGUAUAUAUAUCAUAUUGAUAUCACCAUGAACACAAGUAGCACCAUUUAUAUCACAAUUCCAUCAAUUUUAUCACCACCGGCAAAUUAUUUAUCACAAUAGCACAUAUAUCUCAUAAUAACAUCACUUAUUCGGCGAUAAAGUCCAUACAACAACUUGAUUCUAAUGAAGUUCAACACAACAAGUCCAAGUCCAUGACAUGAAGUUCCACACAACAAGUCCAAGUCCAUGACAUGAAGUUCCACACAACAAGUCCAAGUCCAUGACACGAAGAGAAGGAAUACAUGACAACUUCUUCGACGACGUUACUCACGCGGCGGUGGAGGUGCGUACUCGGGCCACCCAUUUGAUGGCGGCGACGGUCUCCCAUGCUCGUUCGCCACUUGGUUCGAACCCGCCGACUGAGGCUACACACAAGAGCAGCGAUUGCAUGAGACAAAGUUAAAUAGCUAAAUAACAUGCAUGUGUGAUAUAUAUUACUCACCGGAGUAGUGUGGAGAGCAACGAAGGGAGGAACGACGGGAGGAGGCUGAGGUGGACCCAUCAAGUUGGGUGGCAAAGUAACACCCAAAGAACUCUGCAGAAACGCCAGCACAUCUGACAUCCUCUGGUCAGUUGCCAGCCGCGCCGCCCGCUCUGAAGCCACAACCGCCUCCAGCUCGUCAGCCCUCUUGUUCGAAGUUUCCACCUGGGCCUAUACAUUGUUGCAAAGGUAAUGUUAGUGAAGCGAGAAGAAAAUCCUUAAUGCAUGAUGAGUAAACAAAAACUAACCUGUAGUGCCUCGACCCGGGCCUGUGCAUAGGCCGGCCGCUCGCGUAUCGGCGGGAGUCCGGAGCCGCUCGUGGUCUGUGCUCGGAUCUGUGAGAGAGAGGGAGUAGUGGUGCUGUCGAUCACGCUGUUCGCCAUCCAGUAGCGCCCAUGUUGCUUUCCCUUUCCAAGACACAUGACGAGGCGUGCAUCGAUGUUGUCAUUCGUUGGAUCAUAAUCCAACCCAUGCAUCGCCCUCGCCGCCUCGUGGUACUCGGUGACUUUCUUGUAGGCGCUCUCACUUGUGUAUGCCUCGGGCGGGUCCUCCGGGUUGAAGGAGACGUCGGACGUCGCCUUGCCCUUGUGUGACAUGGUAUAUGCCGCGAAGUAGGAGCAUUGCUGGCCACCGUGCGCCGCCGACUGCGAGAACGAAAAGAAGUUUGUUAGUAGUCUUUGCCUAGUUAAAUUAAAGCAUGGAAACAGUUACAAACAUGAUGACGUACCCAAGCUCGGGCGAAGCCGCCCACGUUGCGGUUGCCUUGAUGGUGAGGAACACCUGGCAUGGCCAAACGGUGAGCCCGGAAAGUCGCGUGCUGCUGCCGCCACUCCUCGCUCAACCAACGGUCCACGAUUUGCCCCCACGCCUCAGGGGACUUUUCGCACCACCAAGGAAUGACCUACAUGUCAUGAAGUAAUCGACAUGUUAGGCAGUCAAGUUCAUAGCACUUAAUGUUGAAAGGAACUUAAUUUAAAGUUGCUCAGUUACCUGCAUGAACUGCUCUUUGGUCAGAGAGAGGCUCCGCUCUCGAAUUUGUUUCUUGUUGACGCUCUCGCCAAAUUGCUUCCCAUAGUAGUCUCUGAUGGCCUGGAUUCUCGCCUCGUGGUACAUGUCCGUGACGCGCUUCCUGCAAGCUUUCCUAGCCACGGCAUCCGCAUUGCCCUCGUAGCUCUCGUCGAGCUUGAAGUAUGUCUGCAUAUGAAGACACAAUGUAUGCAUUAGUUAUUUCAAGUAGGAUCCAAUGAAUGCGUUGCAUUGAGGCAUGUAGUGCGAGGAAAGCUUGCCCAGAACUCCUGAAGGAUGAGCGCUGCCAUGUUGCCUGCGGUGGCAUGGUGGGCGGACUCGUAGUGGGCCCACGUGUAGGCAGGCUCGUCCUUCCCGGCAUGUGUUACAAUGCCAGGGAAGUAGUGCCUGACCAGGGCACCUAGGACGCCAUUCACAUGGCGUGAAUCCCCUUCCGACACAACCCUCCAGGUCCUGCACAAGUGAUAAAGUAGACAUAUUAGUAUAUAUUUAGAUUUUGAACAAAGGAUACAAAUUAAUAGUGAUAACAUAUAGAGGUGUCUUACGCUUGCCCCUCUGGGACAAUCGAAACGCGUCGCCUCGGUUUGUCAGGGAGAGACGAGGGACCUCGGAAGUAGACACUGCCCGUAGUAGCGGAAGAUGACGUCCUAGCAGAGCCCUCAGCCCCGCCACCGCCGAGGUCCCCGUCGUCAUCCCCCUCGUCCUCCUCGUCCUGCUGCACCACCACCUGCUGCUCCUCAUCCUCGUCGUGCACCACCUGCUGCUCCUCAUCCUCCUCCUGCUGCGGCUGCUCCUCGUCCUCCUCCUGAGGCUCAGGCUGGACCACGUGAGUCAUCCUCCUCGUCGGCCUCCUCGCUGUCCUCCUCGCCAUCUUGCGGCGUCUCGUCCCCACUGCAGUGGGCUCUGGCACGUCGUCUGCACCCCCUCUACUACCAGAGCCCUGGUAGAAGUGGCUCAGGCUCCUCUGACGGCCUCCUGGCAUUUUUGCUCAAUCACCUGCAAUUAAGAAGGAAUAUACGUAAUUAGAAAUAGAUAUAAAAUAAACAAAACUAAAUUACAAAAUCUGAAAGUAUUACAUGUAUGUUACAAAUAUUCUUCAUGAUCGGGAUUAGCUAGACCGUAAGUCUCAUCAUCACUAUCAACCAGGUCAAAAUAAUCAACAACAUCUGGCGGAGGAAUGUUGUCUUCAUCAUUAUUGCCUAGACGCAACCGCUCAAGCAUUUGUAAGUCAUUUGGAUCUCGCACCUCAUCUUCGUCAUCAUCAUCAAUGACCAUUACAUUGUGUACAUCCAUUCCUAUCUCACAGGUUAAGUCUAUCUCGAACCUCCCCUGUAGCCCAUCUUCUUGGUAAAACUCUCCAUCAUACGUGGUUGGGUUGAAGUGGUAGUCUUCAUCAUUUGGGAGAGGUGCUCCGCCGUGUGGCGACACCUUGUGCACAACACACCAACCACUGAGAUCCAGUCUAGCCUUGCAAGCAUACGACGUAUAAUAAACUUGUGUGGCCUGUUGUGCCACAAUAUACACAUCGUCUCUUGGAUAGACAGAAUCAUGUCGAAUUUCAACAAGACCAAGAUUCGGGGUCUUCCUUGUUACUUCUGGAUCAAACCAAUGGCAUUUGAAUAUGACAGGACGAGCUUUGGUGCUACCAGGGAAUGUGAUUUCGUAUAUUUCUUCAACUCUUCCAUAGUAGUCCUUGCCAUCAGUGCCAGGCGUAAAAACCCCACUAUUUGUGGUCUUUCGAUUUGGCCGCACACGCUCGUAGCUUCUUGUGUGAAACCGAAAACCAUUCACAUCGUAAGCGGACAAUGACUUGACUCGGCGGUCACACCCAUUGGCAACACAUCUCAGGUCAGCACCGAUAGAAGGAUCGGUUCGGGCCUUAGUUGAGAACCAACAAAUGAAAUCGGGCCUCCCUUGUCCCGCACCAUUGGCGAGGAGGGUGUCUUGUUCUGACGGGGUAGGCUCCCUUGGGCGAAGCCAGUAUUGACGAAUGAAUUCCCUGUGACGAGUAACAAGGGGGUUAGAUGUAGAAAAGGUGUGGGAUUAUUGAAACUAGUCUGUUGAGAACUUACACAAUGUAUGGCUCCACCUCUUCUAGGUUUGUCAAUACAUACAACAUGAUUUUACGCCACUCCACAUUUGACAAGGGCUUAGUGGUCGACCCACCGGCUCUUCCCAGUUGCCCUCGGAAAAGGCUGACGGUCCACUCAUUUUCAUCAACAUUAUAGCGUGGAAGUGGAUUAUGCACACUUGGAAGGGUGUCGUCGUAAUAUGAUGUUGUGAAGUUUGACGUCUCCUCCAAAGUGAAUGCACUUGCAAUUGAAGCCUCGAUUUUACCCUUGUUUUUGCACUUUUUUCGAAGAGUCUUUAGGCACCUCUCGAUCGGAUAGCACCAACGGGCCUGCACGGGCCCCCCCAUUCGUGCCUCAUACGGGAGGUGUAAUAUCAGAUGUUGCAUGGGAUUGAAGAAGCCUGGUGGAAAGAUUUUCUCCAACUUGCAAAGUAGGACAGGUGCCACUUUUUCCAAGUCUGCAAUCAUGGAUCGAGAUAACUCCUUGGCACAGAGUUGGCGGAAGAAGUAGCUCAACUCUGCCAGCACUGUCCAUAUGGGCUCAGGGACGAAGCCUCGAACCAUCGUCGGGAGAAGACGCUCAAUCCAAAUGUGGUAGUCAUGACUCUUCAUCCCGUUCACUCGGAGAGUACUUAAGUUCACUCCCCUCCUCAGAUUUGCUGCAUACCCAUCGGGGAACAUCAACGUCUUCAUCCAUUCGAGUACUUCCCUCCUUUGUCUAGGGGCCAGGACAAAAUCUGCCUUAGGCCUUUUCCAUGUCCUACCACCACUAGGAGCUUGUAUCUCUUGAUGUGGUCUAUAGCACAACUCUGCAAGGUCCAAUCGAGCCUUAGGGUUGUCCUUUGACUUUUCAGUGUUCAUGAGCAUUGCCCAGAGUGCCUCCGCGACAUUCUUUUCGGUGUGCAUGACAUCAAUGUAAUGUGGCAUGAGGAGGUCAUCAAAAUAAGGGAGUCUUGUCAAGCCAGACUUAUGAGUCCACAUAUGUUCCUCGCUAUAUCCCACGAACCCAUCACCUUGUUCAUUCUCCACGAGAGCAUCAAUCUGAGCAUGGACCUCAGCAGGAGUCAUCAUCUCUGGUGGAGGUUCAGUGACUUCGACACCUUUCGUAAAGCCUAUGGUGUCUCGCCUGAAUACGUUGUCGAGGGGCAAAAAUUGACGAUGUUUGUCGAACGACGAAUACUUGCCACCCUUCUUGAGCCAGAUGAACCUCAGAUGAGCCUUGCAUAAUGGACAUGGGAACUUCCCAUGGACACACCAACCAGAGAAUAUCCCAUACGCUAGGAAGUCAUGCAUGGAGUACUGGUACCAAACAUGCAUUUUGAAGAUAGUCUUUGUUGCUCGAUCAUAUGUCCACACCCCAUCCUCCCAAGCACAGACCAGUUCAUCAAUCAGAGGCUCCAUGAAGACACCCAUCUUCUUCCCCGGGUGUCCAGGAAUAAUCAAUGACAAGAAUACGUUCUGACGUUGAAAGGAGACACCAGGGGGGAGGUUGAGUGGGAUGACGAACACAGGCCAACACGUGUACGGGGCAGCCAUCAUACCAUAUGGAUUGAACCCAUCUGUUGCCAAUGCCACGCGUACAUUACGUGCCUCUGACGCUUUCUCAUGAUGGAUGCGAUCAAAGUGUUGCCAUGCUUCACCAUCGGACGGAUGCACCAUUUUCUCGGGAUUGUAUCGUUUCCCUAAUUUGUGCCAUGUCAUUUGCUUAGCAGGCUCCUCGCUCAUGUAUAGCCGUUGGAUCCUCGGCAAGAAAGGGAGGUACCGUAGGAUUUUCAUCGGGAUGGUAAGCUGCUCCUUCUGGCCGCCACCAGAGUCUACCUCCAGGUACCGAGAGGCUUUACACUUCGGACAGUACUUCUCCUGCUCAAGAUCUUUCCUAAACAAGACACACCCGUUCGGACAACAAUGUAUCUGCUCGUUCGGCAUCUUGAGUCCAUCAAGGAGUUUCUGGCACUCGUACAGGCUCUUUGGCAGCACGUGGCCCUUCGGAAGCAUGCUAGCAAUCAAGGCCAGCAUGCCAUUGAAGUGUUGCCGACUCAUGUUGAUCUCGGCCUUAAACGCCAUCACGCGUCCAACGGCAUCGAGCUGACAAACCGUCGUGCGAUCAUGAAGGGGUUUCUGUGCCGAAGCCAUCAUGUCAUAGAAUGCCUUUGCGGAUGCCUCUGCCUCCUCCGCACGCCCAUCGGGGAUUUGUGCUUGUGCAAAGUCAUCUAACAAGUCUACAACCCCACCACCAUCAUCGACAUGCUCGAGGCGAGGCCGCACAACCUCCUCUCUCAACCGAUGCGCUUCACCAUGGUGUACCCACCGGGUAUAGCCCAACACAAAGCCAUUCAACUGAAGAUGUUUAGCCAUGGUCUCCUGGUUCUGCCAUUUCCUAUUUGCACACUUGCUACAGGGACACUUCGCCAAUCGCGCUCUAUUCACACCACUGCCAAAUGCACGGUCCAAGAAAGCCUCUGUCUUCUGCCCCCAUUCAAUGCUGAAAUCAUGCUUGCUUGUGUAUCCCGCAUACAUCCACUCACGGUCAUCCAUCGUCUAACAUGCAUAUCAAAGAUAAACAUAAACAUCAAGUGCAUCUACUUCGUGUUCCUACCAUCUAAUAGGUAAGGAUAGGUCCUAAUCCCACCUGUGAAUGCGUAGACGAGGUUAGUUUCCAUGGGCUACUCCGAGCCGAGACAGAAUUUCGGCAGCACCUCCCCGCUGUUCUCCAGAUACACGUCCCGUCGGGGAGAGUGUGUAUCCGAAGAACAACACGGAGGUGAGGCCGAAACCCUAUCUCGGAUCAGAGCAUACUAUGGAAACUAACCUCAUCUACGCAUCCACGGGCUGUCCAAAAAAGUGGACAAUCCGAAACAGAUACGGUUAUACAUAUGCCAAGCUCGCAUACUUCCAACCGUAUCCGUUUCGGACGGGAGACGCCUAACUGGGUAACGCGACCUAAGACCAUAUGUGACGCAAACAGGGGUCAUACCGUACGUGCCGGUGAAGAUAGGCUACCGGGCCAGUGCCGAGUUGUGCUCCUCUGGCUAUCCUCCAACGGGAGCCCUCCUGAAAAAAAACAAUUAGUGAGAAAAAAAAUUCGGCAGCACCUCCCUUGUACGGGGAGGUUACCAAACCUGCAAAAAAAAGACGACACGAUGGCCGACAACCACAAAUACAUCACCAACACGAUGGCCGACAAUCACAUACAUCACCGGCGUGGGGCGCCGUCGGACAGCAGCGGCAAAGGAGGGCCGGCGCAGCCGCGGCCGCGACGGGGCGGCGCCGGCACGGCCGCGGCGAGGCCGGAGCGGGCACGGCCGGGACGGGGCGGCGCCGGCGCGGCCGAGGCGGGGUCGGGGCCGGCCGGGCGCGGCCGGGGCGGGGUCGGGGCCGGCCGGGCGCGGCGGGGUCGGGGCCGGCCGGGACGGGGCGGCGCCGGCGCGGACGAGGCGGGGUGGGUGCCGGCCGGGCGCGGCCGAGCCGGGGUCGGGGCCGGCCGGGCGCGGCUGGGACGGGGCGGGGCGGCCACGGGCGCUACCGGGCCGGGGACGGCGCGGGAGGCGCGGCCGGGCGCGGGCGGCGCGGCCGGCGCGGGCGGCGCGGGCGGCACGGCCGGGCGCGGCCGGGCGCGAGCGGCGCGGGAGGCGCGGCCGGGCGCGGGCGGCGCGGUGGGCGCGGGCGGGGCGGGGGGCGCGGGCGGCGCGGGCGCCAAGCUCGCCGUGCGGGUGGGCGCGUGUGGGCAGGCACUCUGUGUUUUUGGUUUUGGUAGCUCGUGUUUGUAUUUGGGCUGCUCCUUUGCCUAGCGUUCCCGAUCUGGCGCUCGGCAGAGGUGUCCUUUGCCAAGCGCCAGAUCGGCAGCGCUAGGCAAAGGCUUUUUCGACUUUUUAAAAAAAAAAAUUCUGUUUGUUUUUUUUUGAAUGAAGUUAGCCAUUACACAAUUUUGCCGAGGGCCCUCUAACAACGCUUGGCAAAGAGGUCAACUUUGCCUAGCGCAACCCUCGGCAAAGCGUCUUUGCCUAGCGCUGACUUUUGGCGCUCGGCAAAGAAUUUUUUUAUUUUUUACUUUUUGCUUCCAAACUUUUUUGUUUUGCACUACACAUUAUUUAAUAGUAUAUGUUAAGGUUUUGGUAGUUUUUAAAAUCUUUUUAUUAUAUAUCUUUAGUUAAUUUGGUUUAAUUGAAUUUCUACGAUAAACGCGGGUUUGAACUGCAGGUGUAUCGAAUCUCCGAAUUCGACGGUUCAAAAAUUGAUAUUCGCUUUACAUAGCGUAUGUUAAGGCCAUAUCCAGGAGCACGCAUGAAAUAUCGAACAUCUCGCGCACGGAACACGGCGACCAAGUUGCGCGUGAAGUGCUAUUAAAUUAUAUAAAAUGCAAAUGAAGUCGAAAAAUUACAUAACUUAGCGACACGUCUUUGGAACACAUGUGGAUGCUAUGGUAAAAAGUUGGUAAAGUUUCGUGCAUGUUAUCACGGAAGUUAGUUAGAAACCUAGACAUCUCUCAUGUUAUCACUAAAGAUAUAUAAUAAAAAGAUUUUAAAAACUACCAAAACCUUAACAUAUACUAUUAAAUAAUGUGUAAUGCAAAACAAAAAAGUUUGGAAGCAAAAAGUAAAAAAUAAAAAAAAUUGUUUGCCGAGCGCCAAAAGUCAGCGCUAGGCAAAGAGAGCCUUUGCCGAGCGCAAAAAUUCAGCGCUAGGCAAAGAGAUGCCUUUGCCGAGCGCCAAACGUCAGCGCUAGGCAAAGAGAUGUCUUUGCCAAGCGCCUAACGGAGGGCGCUCGGCAAAGGGUGACGGCAGGUACCCCAUGUUACAUGUGUUAUCUCUUUGCCGAGUGCAAGCCGUUGCCGAGCGCUUGGCGCUUGGGAAAGAUGUCCUUUGCCAAGAGCGGGCCUUUGCCGAGCGUCUGGUGCUUGGCAAAGACGUUCUUUGCCGAGCGUCUCCGUUUGCCGAGGGCACUACCCUCGGCAAAGAAAUCUUUGCCGAGCGCUGUCUUUGCCGAGGGUCCUGCGCUAGGCAAAGGUGGCCUUUGCCGAGCGCCCGAUUUAUAGCGCUCGGCAAAUAACCAAACGCUAGGCAAAGGCGCUGUCUGCCGUAGUGAUGGUCAUGUUCCAUGGAUAAGGACUUCAAAAUUUUUAGGUGAGUUUCUAGAUACGACCUCAAAAUAAACUCUCCAACAUAAAUAUCAUUUUUCUAAUGUCUAAAUUUUAUUAUUUCAUAUACUUACAGUUUAAAGUUGGAUUAUAUGACGGAAAAUCCAAUUAAAAGAAAUUAAUUAACGAAAUAUAGCAAAAAAUAUUACAAAAUUAUGAAAUUUGUCAAGGUGUCAUGUUAUCAUAUGUGGAGUCUAUGAAAAAAAUUGAGAAAGUUUGAAGCAUGUUGGAAUAUCGAAUGUCCAAAACCCAUAUAUCUCCACAUCUAAUCGCUUGUGAACACAUGCGCGAAUGUCUAGGUUUUAUACAUCUGACAUCACAACUUUCUCUAAACUUUUUAAAAUUUUUAUCAUAGGCUACACAUGUGAUAACAUGACAACUCAACAAGUUUCGUAAUUUUUUGACUUUGUUUGAAUUUUAUAUAAUUAAAAAGCACUUCUACAACACCUAGAUGGUCAUGUUGUGGGGACAAGGACUUCAAAAUUUUGGAUGAGUUUCUGGGCACGGCCUCAAAAUAAACUCUCCUAAAUGAAUAUCAUUUUUCUAAUGCCUAAGUUUCAUUAUUUUAUGCAUCUGCAGUUCAAAGUUGGAUUAUGCGGUGGACAAUUCAAUUAAACGAAAUAAAUUAACGAAAUGUAGCCAAAAAGGUAAAAGAAUCACGAAACUUUUUGAGGUGUUAUUUUAUCACCUCUGGAGCCUAUGAUAAAAAAUUCAAAAUUUUUUAAGCAAGUUGUGUAUGCAAAUAAAUUAGAAAAAAAAUUUUAUCGACUGCCCUAGAUGUAGGCAGUUGGCAAAGGAUAUUUAUAAUUAAAAUAAACCGCGGCUUUGCCGAUUGGCUUGCGCGGUAGCGGUCGGCAAAGGACUUUAACCUAAAACCCAGCCUAUCUUGUGCCAAGCUUAUCUUGUAAAAAAAAAAGCCAACCUGCCCCUCCUGGCCUCCUCACGCACGCAGCACUCCCGCACGCAUCGCCUCCUCCCGUGCACGCAGCGCCGCCGCCGCACUCCCGCCGUCGGCCGCGCCCCGCCGUCGAUCUGCCUCCCCUGCACCCUGCGCCCUACGCCCGCACCCGCGCCUCCUCCCCUGCACCCGCGCCCCCGCCGUCGACCGCCCGGCCGCCCGGCCGCCCCGGCGCCCCGACCGCUCCGAUCCGGCCGCUCCGGCGCCCCUCGAUCGCCUCGGCCGGCGUGAAGUUCGAUCCGACGGACCAGUAGCUGCUGGAGCACCUGGAGGGGAAGGCGAGGCCGGACGCCCGGAAGCUGCACCCGCUCAUCGACGAGUUCAUCCCCACCAUCGAGGGCGAGAACGGCAUCUGCUACACGCAUCCGGAGAGGCUUCCUGGUGAGUAGAGCUAGCUAGACUGCUAGACACGCCAACAUAAACUGCUGCUGCCUGCCCCUACGUACGCACGAAAUCGUUCCUUCUUAUGCGUGUAUAAUUUGGUUAUAUAGUAGUAGCUGAAUGCAUGCUUGCUACAUCGUCAGCUAUCAAAAGCGUUUGCUCUGCAAACAUCCAUCAUAUCUCCGAUCCUGGCCCCCCUCAAUCGCGAAAAAAGAAAAGAAAAAGAAAAAGAAACGUUCUAUAUAUAUCAAUUCAGAUUGUUUUUUCUUUAAGUUAUCUAUUCAGAUUUAGACCAGUCGACGAAGAUAGAUCCGUCAAGGAAGAACCUUGAUAAGCUAGCUUAUAAUAUAGACUAAUUCUUCUUUUAAAAAAAUUCAAACAAUCCUUAUUUUGGUGUUAGAAAAAAGAUUACAUUCUGUACUGUUUUAGUCGUUUUCAAUUGGGUGGUCUUGCUUAAUCAACCAAGGCUAGUCUUAGAAAUUUAGUGUGUUGCAUUGUCUGCACACUCACAUCAUAUAUGUAAAACUACGUACAUGUUUUACAUAUAAGUAUGCUGGAUUAGCCAAAUCAGCUUUGAUAUAUUUGGUCCUUAAUAACACACCCUGAUUUAGUCAGGGACAAAAGAUUAGAUACCAGAGAUCAUUCCGUGACUUGCAUAUUUUCUGGGAAGUUUUUUUUAGAUUAUGUGUCCGUCAUUUGACUAGUAGUAGAAUAAAAUAGGUGAAUUUACUGGGAUUAUGUCAUUGUGUUCUCCCUGCUCGACUGCUUCCAUUUGGAAAACAUGAAUUACAUGAUGCUUGUAUCUCACCAGGAUUAUGAGGGCUUCAAAGACGAUGAGCUGGAGGUACUUGAAAGAAGAAGUGGAUGGGGUUCUCUGUACACGAGUGAUCCUCAAGUUCUUUGCAUGGACUCGAGUGAUCCACAAAAUCCUCCUGGUUAUAUUGGCCGGCAAAGUUGUGAGCCGCUCACCACACAGCAGUUUUUUUCACUGCGCCAGAAUUGGCAACAGCUGCUAGAUGGCAAGAAGACAUACCUCCGCCCGCCAAAGAACAACCGUGUUGCCAAGGACAAUUAUGCCAACUGCCUCCUUGUAACCCCAGAACCUCUUCAGAAGGCAAUACAAUGUCAGGUAUAAAUAUUGUAGCCUCAUAAGCUACUUAACUGAAUUUACUUGUUUGUUCCUUAAUUAAUCAUGAGUUGUUUCUCCUUCACAGUGAAGUUUCUUUUUCAUGCUCAAUGAAAUGGUCUGGCAUCUGAAAUUUCAUACCAUCCUCAACUAUCAUUAAGUAUCCAGAAGUUUUAUCAUUGUUCUCUAUUGAAACAUCUGUGUUCUGUGAUGCCCUGACCAUACCCUGUUCAUUGUGUUUGUAGAUAAGAUUUGCUAAUCAAUGGAAAUAAAUAUGUGAUGAUGAUUUGCACUAAACAUUUCCUGGACUGUUUUCAGAUUCCUUGAGUGCGUCCUAAGUCUUGGCUUAGAUAUUCCAGUCAUGAUUUCUUAAAUAUAUUAAAAAUAAAGCUGAUGCAUCUCUCGGUCAGGCUGGAUGUUUCUGUUCCAUUAUCGAGAAAAUGUUAUCCAUAAAAUAGAUUUGGUCUUCCACACUAAAACAAUUCUUGUUUUUGUAAUUUGGUGUCCUGGAAAAAAAUUGUAAAUAUUGCCAUGAACAGAUACAGUGUGCCCUGCAGUAUUUGUACAAUAAAAAUAUCGUAAAAGUCAACCAGAAAGUUAAGUAUGUCUUAAACAAUGUUGAAUACUUGGUUACCAGAGACUUCAUGGGUUCAUAAUGUUUACUGCAAACACUAGCUAGCUUGCAAGUCUUUUUACGCAAAGACAUAUUGCCGUGAAUCUUAUAGCAUUUUUUGUAAAAAAAAAGUAAACUCGGCGCGUCAGAUGAAAGAGUUUGCCAGCUUCUUUCAGGGCCUGGAGAUCUCUGGUUUCGGAUGUUCUCCGUUGCCAGCUUCUGUUCUCGCUCCACCCCCUGUUCCUAGCCCUUUAGGGACUCCGGUGAGUUUCUAGCAGUCUGUCUAUUGUUUUCGCUUGUACAGCUAUCCCGCAGGUACUAAUGAGAUCGCUUCUCCUCUAUGUCGGCGGGUUUAAACCCGACUCCACAUGGCCUUUCUCCAGGUCAGGUGGGACCAGCACUAUGUCAAAAAAGGAAAUCACAGACGCGCGAUUGCAUAACUGGAAGUUAACACGCGUCUGUAAUAGAUUGUUACAGACGCCUGUUACUGUUGCGGUGUUAAAACGCGUCUGUGAUUCGUCUUGUUACAGAUGCGCGCCAUGUACGAGCGUCUGUAGUUUAGUACAGACGCUUAUUGUCAACACACGUCUGUAACUAUGGAGUCUGAAGUUCCCCUAUGAUUCUAGAUGGGCCGCUUGGCUGUCCGAAAAUUGGCCUGUUAAGCCGAUGUGGGUCGACAAUACUAAUUGGGCUGUUUUAAUUUCUUUUGGGAAGAAAGUCAUCUUUUUUAAGGUUUUGCCGUAAAAGACGUCCGUGCAUGUUUUAACAAUAUGUAGACUAGCAAAUUUUCUCAAUAAAUUAACAUCAUACAAACUCUUAGAGGGAAAAAAUAAAAAAGGCACCCAAAGAUUUGGAUGGCUACUGUUGAAGACGAUACAAUAAAUCAACAAUAAGUAUAAAACCACGUAUAUGAAAAGCUCUCGCUAAACUUAUCCAUAUAUAUUUUAAAUUACUAACAACUUGGCAUAAAAGGCCACAUGCACAAUUUUACUAAAUGUGCUCCACAUCGUAUACAUGCCUUCAUGGGUGAGUGGCACAAAUAAUAACCUUGAUGCAUAUGACAUGAAUAUCAUGCAACGAAAAAAAUGGAAGACUUAAACCAUAAAAAGUGAUACUAACCAAGCACCGUAACAUGUCCUUACAACAUUAAGUUCGAACUAACAAUCACACAUAGUUCAUCACAAUAGACUUACAUAACUGGAAUAUAAAUAGAAAGGAGUCCAAGGUCCAUACAUAAAUAUCUUCGAUAAAAGAGACGAUCACAAAAGUUCUCCCCCUGUGGCGUCAAGCGCCAAAAAAGAAAUAUGUCGGCAAAGAACAUGCCUCACUUGUCAUCAGCAACAUUGUCGUCCUCUUGGGUCCCAUCGGUAUCCUGGUUGCCAAAGUCCGAAGGGCCGCUGGCGGGGAAGAGAGUGUCGAACGCAGGGUUGAAGAAGUAACUUGCUAACCCAUAGGUAGCAUCAGCCCAUCCAGAGGACGAGCUGGCAGCUACACCCUGGUGUGCACCGAACGAGGACUGGGGCUGCACAAAAGACUGCUGAAACUGUGGGUGGAACCAAGCGGGCUGUGGAGGAGCUGGAGGAAGAGAGCGAACCGGAGACAGGGGCACACCAGCCUGCACUGCUAUCGCCUUUCGCUGAACCUCAGCACGGUGGAGCUCCUCCUCGACGAUGCGCUGGUGUUCUCUGUUAGCCUCAUGGAUGGCCAUGCACAUCCCAAACACAGAUCGAAGAGCCCUCAUGACAAGACCCUAGUCGGCCUGAGUAGUAGCUGCUGCAUUGGAGGUAGUGUCUACAGAAGGCAAAGGCUCAGAUUGUCGUGGCUUGCGGCCCCUCCUCGGUGCCGUCUCAUCAAUCCGCACAGGAUGAUACACCUCAUGGCGCAUCUCUUUGACAAACUCCUUCUUACUGACUAUCUCAAUCAUCUUCAUUAUAUAUGGAGCAUGAGAACAAGACCUUUUAGCAUCCCAAGAGGUCAGCUGAAUCUGCUUCAAAAUGAAACCAAAAGCACUGAAGGAGUCUUCGUUAUCCUCCUUGAGAGCAACCAAGAAAGGACCCAUAGUAGAUAGGAUUUCUGAAGCACCACCAAUCUUGGGGACCACAGUUUGCCUCACCAACAAAUUAAUGUAGCGAUAAACCUUUCUCAUUUUCUUGAGGGUAUAAAAUUCUUCCAUGGUGGCACUCGUAUAGUAAGCAAAAGAUAUAUCAAUGUUACGACUAGGUGAGCAAUCAAGCCAUGGCUUCUCAAAGUCAUCAAGGUCAAAUCCAAGAAUUUGAGCAAACCUAGGAUAAGAAACAGAAUACUUCUGACCCUGUGUGCGAAAGUGCACACAACCAUGGUCCGUAUCUGUAGGAUCCUCAUACCAAACGGUUGCAAAGAAUUGAGCAAUGAUCUCAUUGUUCCAUGGAUAUUGCAUAGUCAUGAUGUUCUUGAAGUUGUGCCUCUCCAAAAUAGCAAGAGCCUUGGUCAUUUCGGGAUCAUCAAUGCGAGCACAAUAGUUCCAAUCGAUGCACUUCUGCUCUACCACUGGCUGAACUUUAGAUCGAAUAACAGAAUUGUAGUAGUCCAGCUGAAAAGGAGUUGCAAACCGAGGAUCAAGAAUCUCAACAACAUCAACCUCAUCAGGACAGACAAACCUUUGAGCAAAAACUUGUCCACUAUAGUUCCGGGUGUAGUCCUUAGGUUUAGGUGGGUGAACAUCAUAAGGGCUGCGCCGCAACGCUUCUUUAAUGUACAGGUUGUCGGUCACCUGAACAAACUCAAGAUUCUCAUUGGGCAAAUCCAAAUCAGGAGCAUGCUUGCGGACACGAGCCUUGCCACGACCCGCUAGCACCUUGCGUCUGCCACUCAAUGUCACUGCAGCAAGCCGCUGCCCACGCUUGGGAGGUGGCGAAGCAACAUCCUCAUCACCACGACAAAUCCUCUUGCGAACCAUACUGCAAAGAAAAGGCGUGAACGCAUAAGAGAUAAGGUGCAAGAUAUACGAAAAGGCAGGGGCAGAACAAGCGCUAAUUUGUCAACUAACAACAAUGACUUACAGUAAACAUAAUUGUUUAGAUUAGUACUAUAACUAUAAAUAAAGCAACAAAAAUUAGAGCAUCUUCAAGAACUUUUAUUAAGUUAACUCUCUAAAUCAUCAUUCAGAGAGUUAUUUGGAUAACAAAAAUGCUUCAUAUAUCUUUGUACCCUAUAGCUAAAGAGACUAUUGGAGCCUUUUUAUAAAAAAAUGUCUUUUCCAAUUAUUUAGAAGAAAAAUCAAGAGCCUCAAAAAAUUGCAGUUACAGGAACAAAACAAUUUCAGAGAACUUGUUACCAAUGUUCAAGUGGAAAAUAAAAAGUUCAAUUAUGACAUUACUAGAAAUAAUAAUGGCCUUCAUUAUGGUAAUCCCAAAUAACCAUGUGGCAUCCAUUUAGUUAAGUUGGGUAGAAUUAUCUAUUACUUCAUUGGAGGUAACAAGUGAAAUACGUAUUUAGUUAUUAAGUCAGGAAGAAGUCCUUAACUUUUUCCUAUUAUAUUCGAUGUGAUAAAAGAUUUCGACUAUUAAAACUUUGCAUAUGGGAACGGGGUUGAUUUAAAGUCACUCACUUCUUGCAUUGCUGCAUAUUUCAUGAUCUGACAUGUGGUAUCUUUCACUGCAUGGUAACAGCUGUGCUGGCUGUAUUGAAAAUCACAAGCUAGCUGUGUUGACCUAUACCUUUUGUACAUACUGUAAUAAACCAAAGCCCCCAGAGCACAACACUGCCGAUCUUGUAAAAUGCGUGUGGUGAACAUGGAUCAUAAUUGCCCAGCUAUAAGUAUGAUAACUGAAUUCUGCUGCGUUAGUAUUUUUUGAUGAUUGUUACUUCACUUGUUUAUUCAUUAACUACUUCUGUUCAAGUGCAGAUAGGCAACUGUGUGCGAGCAUCAAAGCAUCAAGUGUUUUUCAAUUUCCUUAUAUCUGCAGUUAUUAGUUGUUCUAAUGCUGCUGGGAUGACCAUAUAUGCGAGUUAUAAGAUGUGGCCCUCUGUUGAUUUUCAAACCUAGCAUCAAACCAUCACUCCGUGAGUUAUUACUUAUAAUAUAUGCUAGUUUAUCAGUCAAUGCUGGUAUAGGAGUAUUACUGUGCCAGCAGCUGAUGCUUAAUGUGGCUGGGAGAACUGCGCUCGUCAAAGCAACACUCUCGGCAAUCCCAGUCCAUCGCGCUAUGCCUGUCGCCGUGGGCAAUCAACGCCAUUUACAAGCUACACAGGGCGUUCAUGUGGGCAGGGGCAGACAAUGUGCAGGGCGGGCGAUGCAAGGUUGCCUGGCCAAGCGUCUGCAGGCCCAAGUAGCUUGGUGGUCUGGGCGUCACUGACCGCAGGCGGGUGGGAAUCGCGCUGCGCGUGCGCUGGGUCUGGCGAGACCGUCUGAACGGUCGACCGCCGACUACCAAACAGGGCGUCGUGCUAGCGCUGUUCCAGGCGGCAACUGUUUUCCACCUGGGGAACGACCAAUCAACUUUCUUCUGGACAGACCGGUGGCUAAACAGGUCUAGUAUACAAACGUUGUGAGCUUUACCGAAUAAGCUCACAAGCCGUUGUGAGCUUUAACAAAUAAGCACUUAGAUUUACAUAUGACACGAUGGUUUGGUUCUAUAAUGUAUAUAUGUAGCAUGUACACCCAAUUUUAAAUAGUAGCCACUAGCGCAAACCCUAGCUGAUGGAUUUUGCAAAGAAAAAGACUUGGGGUUGCAAAGCAACAACAGAUCGGGAAUAAUUGAACACUAAAUUAUGAGGGGGCAAAAGAAAUCGACCAAAAGCGAAAAACGUGCGCAGAUCGGACAAAAAGAACUCACCUUGAAAAGGACCGUCACGUGUUGGAGAAAAAGGACCAGCGGGAUUUGGAAAGCACUUGGAUUGUCGCUGUCGGACGGAGCUGGUCCGGGCGCUGCAGAUGAUGGGGAUGUGUCUGCCGACCUCGCUGGCCCGGGCGAGCUCGCAGUAGGGCACGACGGCGCAGCCUAGAUGGAGGGGCUCCUGUCGCUGCCGCGAGUGGGAAACGCAUGGCUAGGAGGGCGCGUGCGCUACCACGCACGCACGGAAACGCAGGGAGGGGCAGCGAGGGGGCAGGGAGGCAGGCAAUGAUGGCGAGAUGCAGGGGAGGCGGGCGGUGCACUUCUGGGACGGCUACGCGGCUGAGUUCAUUCGCCGCACGGCGUAGAGGGUCGCGCGGCCCGUCGGAAGGGGGGGUGGGAACAGAUAAUGUUCUUUUUUUUUCCUAAAAAACGGCAAAUGCAAGUGGGGGUGGACGCGCGAGGAAAGAUCGAGGUAGGGCGAAUGAAUUACCACCUUGGCCAUGGAAUAUAUCCAGCCGAGGGUCCUCUGUCUUGAACCACGAUUGAGGAAAAAAAUCCAGUUUUGACGGCACUAUUUCCAACCUGCAGUCCUCUAUCUUCAACUAAACUGAUAGCUCCAAUUUGCUGUUGUGGUGGCACUGUGAAGCUUCACCAAAAGAUCGUGAACAAGAUAGAUGAAACUUCAAGACUCUUUGUCGAAUUGGGUAGAGACUGUGAGGGUUGUCUUCAUUGCGGGGGAUGUAGAAGGCUGGUGUGCUCGAUGACAGGGGCGGCCAUGCAUGUGUUUUUAAUUUCGUAAAAAGUCUAUAUUAGUACUCAACGCAUGUGUCUAAAAAUUGAAUGUGACGGGCAGUAAACUGUAACAAGAGCAACUAAAUAGGGAUGCAUGGAAUACAAAAAUAUACUAUUUACAUGUAGUAGAGAAUAAUUUACUAUACAAAUCUUUUGAGCCUAAUUACUCCACGAUUGGACAAUAAUUAUCAAAUAAAACAAAAAUGCUACAGUGUAUUUUCAGUUUUAACACCCCUAACCAAACACCCCUACAUCCAUUAUUUUGUUGUUAACUAUUUUUCUAUUUUAUAUUUUGUGACAUUCUUCAUCCAUUUUACUAAUAUUUAAUUAUUUACAUUUUUAAAAAGAUUAAGUAGGUACAUCAUUACUCUUUUAAUUUAUUCACUAAUUAUAUAUUUUCAUAAUUAAUGUUUCUGCAACACUUUUUAUUCUACCCAUUUCUUGAUUUGUUUUCUAUAAAAGUUCCACAAGCCUAAAUACAUAAACUCUCUUCGCACUAUUUUUUGUAAUGUCUUUCACAGGCAAUUUCACUUAUAUUUGUUUAUUUAUGUUUAAAGACUAUGUAAACACGUAUUUUAAAAAGUAUCUAUUGCUUUUGUAAAAUUAUUAUAGGUACGUGAAGCAACACUUUCUAAUCUCAUUUUGUUUCUUUGAUUUUCUUAUAAGUAAUUACUUUCAAAAACAAAAUGUUAAUCGAUAUUAUUUUCUUUAAGCUAUGUUGGCAUUUCUUUAAGCUAAGCUAUGACGACAUACACAAUUAUUAACGUCAUGGCAACAGGCGGUCGGACCGGUAAAAGACCGAACCAGAGUCUCUACCGGUCCGGUUCACUUAAAAGAUCGUCUGUGCAAUUGAACCGGUAAAAACUGGUUAAACCGGCCGGUUUUUUACAGAACCGUUGAACCGGCCGGUUUUCUUCGAACCGCUUCGGUUUGUAGGGCGUGUGGUGCGGCAGUUCUGUGCUGUGUGGCUUGGUGCUAGGCUGCUAGCUGGUGGACUACUGCCCCUGUCAUUGGUCCGCCCGCCUGCCUGCUCACAAUUGGAAGUGUCCCAUGCACAGUGGCGUGCAGCAGCAGCUGCUGUUACUUUUUUUAUUUGCUAGAGCCUGGAGCUGAGCUGAUGUCAGCAUUUUUCUUUAUAAAUUUCAGAAUUUCAUAACUUUUCUAAAUAAACUCAAAAUUAGACAAAUAAUAUAUCUAUUCCGAUUAUCUCAACGAGCUCUUUGAAGUGGCGCCCUUUGUUUUAUCACUUGAGAUUACUUUGCAAUGCUGAAUAUUUAAAUUACUAUUGAAGUCUUUUUGCAUCAAUUUGUAAGUGCUCCAAGUUUAUGUUUUUCCACACGUAUUUUAUAUAUUGGGUAAACAACUCUAGAGAACCAUUACCUUGGAGUAUGUGUUGUGUACUUGUGGAUAGAUAAUCGAGAAGCGAGUUAUAUACUUGUAUUUUUUAUCAUUGUUCUCAUUUAUAUAUGUGGUUAAGUACAUGUUGUGAGCGGUUCAAUUCAUCCAGUUCAAAACUAUCGAACCAGCGGUUCAACCGGUUCUUAACGGUUGGACCAGUGAACCGAUGGCCUUACCGGUUCGAUGUCCAGUCCGGUCCUAAUAACUAUGUUCUAUACUACUUGAUGCUCAACCAUAUAUAGCUUGCGACUAAGUAGUGAAUACUAGUAUUGCGCGACUUAAUUGCUUGUAGCAAAUAGACGUAUACAUAAACCAACAAAGAGUCUGUGAGUCAUCCACCCUAUCAACAAACCGUCUGCAAUCAACGCAGAUCCAAGUCUAUCCAAACGAAGCCUAAGGGAAAAGUUUAUAGUAAACAUGGCUGAAUGCUGCAGCCUGACCAGUGCAACCACCAGCCAAAAAGUCAGCCACAGCAGCAGCCAUUCGAAUUCAAAAACUGACAGGACUGACACACAUUGAAAUUCAAAUAAUACACCAGUUCAUUUGCAUAUAUGCCAAACACCAUAAACAAAGAUUGUCAGCAGUCCAAUACAACACAAAUCACAAUACUCCAGUUCUUACAUAUAUCCCAUCUGAGCCACAACCUGGCCUGCUAGGAGUUAUUGCAUUAAUGCAUCAUCGCUCAUAUGCAAUUCACAUAUAAAGCACUACUCCUAAUUGGUUGCAGAGGUGGCUCCACAAUUCAAAAGUUGUACCCAUUAUCCGGUACUUAACCAAGAACAACACGAAGGACAAUUGGUCAAAAUGCACCUACUAACUUGUCCUUCUUCCUGCCAUCGGCUGCUACUCAUCCGACUGGAAAUCUGCAUUUUGUCAAGGCCUAAUGAGCACCCAAAACAACUAAAUCAGUUGACUACAUAAUGACCAACGGAAUUGGUUUCACUUACCUGUCUUCCCAAGCAGACCUAGGCCGUAAGUAAUCCAAUCCCUCACUUGUUCCAUAUCAUUUGGGUCACUUAAUGCCAUUGCUGUCACUUUACUUAAAGGGCCAAGGUCUGGUGCUUGCCUACGCCUCCCCGCACGAUGCUUUCCCUCCAGCCCACGCACGUAGUUGUGCAGUGCAAACAAAACCAGAAUUAUCUGUGUUUGUUUAGUUCCUGGAUAGUGCGGUAUGCUUUUGAGCAUCCUCCACUUUGAUUUUGCGACCCCAAAAGACCUUUCAAUAACACUGCGCAACCCCGCAUGGUGCCGGUUGAACAACUCCUCCGCGUCUUGCGGACCAAGAUUCUUGAAGUCCUUGGCCCGAAACCUCUUCUGCGGAUACGGCGGCAUGUAGCCCGGCCCAAGUGCAUACCCAGAAUCCACCAAGUAGUACCGUCCUGCAUACACAAAAAUUCCCAAUCAGUAAGCAAAUGCAGAACACAAAACCAUUACAUUACUACACCCAACGCGACAACUAAGGUAGCCAUACUGUCUGGUGGGAUGGGGAAAGCGGGAUCCUCCUCUGCCUUCUUUUUCAUGCGCAUGUCAUUCGCCGAACCCUCUGUCCCCGCGCCAAUGUAGGUGAACAUCAUGUUGAAGUCACAAACAGCAACAACAUUUUGGGUAGUCACACCAUAUCUAUUUAUGUGGUCCAAACGAACUCCAUCAUCCACUGACACUAAUAUGUGAGUUCCAUCCAUAGCUCCUAUGUAGCCAUCAAAAAAGGGUGUGUACUCUAACAACUCAUGUGGGACUUCACCAUAAUUGUAGUCCCUUGGCCUAAUCGCAUCAUUUGCAAACCCAGUCAUGGCAUUCAGAACUACCUUAAAAAUUUUGGAACAUGAGCUCAAUCCCCUCAUGAACCUUUCAUUCAUUUGCCUCUGACAUUGAUUCGUCCCACAUGCCCAAAGAAAUAGGCCUAAUGCUUCAUGUGAAUCAAUGUUUCUAGUGGAUGAUAGACCAUACCAAGUCGUUAAUAAGCUAUGCAACCGUUCAAAGUUCUCAGGCAGCAUGCGAAAGUUGUUAUAGCACCUACGCUGAUUUUGCAACACGUUGUGCACCCAUUGUCGACCGGUGGUGUCCGGCUGACCCAACUGUCGGCUGACUUGUGGGUGUGCUUGCAUCGUGGCCCAGUAACAAUAUGCUACACCCGUUCCUACUGUCACCAUCUCGUUGAAACUAUUCUCACUAGAAUUAUCACUGUCCUCACUUUGGUCCAUGACAACACCACCCUACAUCAGACAGUACGUGUAACAGAACCGCCCAAUUUACAAGAGAUCAACUAUGAAAAACUCCCGCCAAAGUAGUUGCUUUAACAUAAUCGAACUCUCAUAAACCCGGUAGUCCGUGAAAUCACGCGGGAUUUCAAACCAACCAUCAUACAAGCCAAGAUCGUAAUGAUUCAACAUAACAAGUCACAUGUUACAUCCAUUUCGCAAGUAGUUUGACAUACAUCAGAGUUUAAUAUAUUUAUUACAAUGAAAAGUAGCGGAAGCAAAGUAAUUUGAAACUAAUAUUGCCCUUAUUUCAAAUACAUGCCAGUAUUCAGGUCAACUCCAACAAAAGCAACAUAGAUGAGGUAACUAAGAAGGAUCAUGCCCAUGAUCUUACUCCUCUAAUAUGGUAGGAGUCAUCCAACUCUUGCAGUAGCCAUGAUACAUCACAACCUACAACAAGUGGGAAUAAACCCUGAGUACGAGAAGGUACUCAGCUAGACUUACCCGUCAUAAACCAGAAAUAAUAUGACACCAAGGAGUAUGCAAGGCUUUAUUGGUGGAGCUAGCUUGACAACACUUUUUGCAUAAAAAGCUUAAGUUGCAACUAAGUAACCUUUCAGGUAUUUAGCUCAAGUUAAUAAUCAUUAACCUGUCAUCUAGAUUAGCACCUGUACUAAAGCAAUCACUUGAUUAAGAUACAAUCAUAGUACCCAUAUUCGAUGUGGCAUUUCCAACAUCAUCAUACCAUAAUCAUCCAAGUGUUCCAUAAACAUUACUACGAGGACGGGGCUCAAGUCAAGUGCUCACUAUCCAGGAGCGAUGGCGAUUCGAAUCGAUUUCUGACCAGCUGGCGAGUUAUUCCCCACACAAACCACACUCACCGGCCAAAGUGAGCUACAGGUCACCAUAUUACACUAUCCAGGACCAAUUCGCGGGUUCGGCAGGCACCGCCAGUACCCGAGGACCGUUCCGGCGACCGAGGUAUCCAAGGUAUACCAAGGUUGCGCGCCGCGCCCUCGUCGUUCUCCUCAACCAUCACCAAUACAGCGCAUGGCGGCUCGACUCCCGGCCCGGAUAGUGUUCAGGCUUCGCGGUCGGAACGACUUAUCCUUCCAUCUAAGUGUGGGGCAUGCGUUCAACAUGACAAGAGGGCCGUCAACGAUCGGUCCUUAAUCGACACAGGUGGGGAUAGAUAGGCACCCAAGACCUCCAUGUCUUGUUACUUCUCUAUCAUCGUCCCGCCCGGUCUCCAAUUAUUAAUCCUCAUCACUUGGUUAUUUCCAUGAUAGCAUAUAUAGCCGACCUUUUCAGGUAUCCACCUAUCUCGCUCAGGUGACAGGACAUCACCUGGCUUCUACCGAUCUAAGCAUAGCUAAGCAUUUAGAUUCGAUCCUGAAUCUACAUAGGGUCAUAGGUAUAUUUACUGGACAAGGAGUGAUAUAUGCAGCAAGGGUUUCACCCAACUCCUAUACUUAAUGCAACAAUACAUAUAUAACAUAUAUUCUCAAUUGCAUUCAAAAGUAGUAGGAGACUUAUAAUGCUCCGGGGCUUGCCUGGGAUCAACACGGAGUCAGUUUAAUUAGUUGUUCCAUCUUGGUGACAUCUUAGGUCGCAACACUUGCUUAGUCCUUCCAUCUUCGCGAUGGGUCCACCCAACACCGUCUUCGGGUUUGUUCCCACACCAAGACCUUCACGUGAUUCAUCUAGCGCACCUAGAUGAGAUGCAAGAUGCAAGUGCAUGAAUAUAAAGAAUAAUAACACAACAUGCAUCACAGAAAAGUAUGCAAGACAUAGGCAUUUAAAGUUAUUUAGCUAACAUCACACGACCAAUUAUACAGAGCAAACAUAUCAAUAAUGACACAAGUUUUACAAGGUUACAAGUGUAUUACUUAAUCACCAUUAAAGACAUGAAUCACAGUUUGCACACAACAAGUAAAGCAAUCAAACAUUCAUGCAUUUUCAGCAAUUUUGGACAUACAUGCAGCAACUUAGUAAACAAUUCAUAACUAGAGCUACACAGCUCCAAAAACUAUGCAAUAGGACAUUACGGAAAGAUUAUAAAAUCAUCUACAAUUCAUCUUUAAUCAUAUUAGCAUGAUUAACAAGUUAACUAAGUCAAACAUGCAUGACCAUAUAAUCUGGUCCAGGAAUUUCCAGAGAACAAGCAUUUUAAAGGAUGAAAUUCAUACUACUGUAACUCACAAAACACUUAGCCAAAUGAUAUGAAACUUUACCACAAGAUAUAUUAAUAAGUUAUCUACAUCUUUUAUAUAUACAUGUUUCACAGCAAACAUCAUUUAUAUCAUGGAAUUAAUUGCAUAAAUAAAACUGCUCAUGCUGCCAAACAGUAGAAGUACAAUUACAAACAGAAAACUGAUAGGCAAUUCAAGGAAGCAUAACUGGAGUUGUAGAACUCCAUCAAACAUGAUUCUUAUCUUUUUGGAAAGCUCAUAAAGUUUUCUACAACUUUAUUAUUAUCAUAUAAAUAUGAAUCCACAGUUAACAAGGUCAAUUAACCACAUAAAGACAUCUCUGUCCAAAACAUGGACAGAAUCUGUCAUGCCACAUUACACAGUUAUAACUUAAGUUUCACAUGUCUAUAAUUUAUGGUUGUGUACUUUCUAGAAAGCUUACUAAAUUGUGAACAACUUUGUUAUAAACAUCUAGAGCUAAAUCUACCACUAACAAGGUCUUACAUUACAAACAAUGCAAUUCUAUCUAGGUUUAGACAGAAACUGUAACAGUAAUUCAAACCACUAUAACUAAACAUGUGCUUAACCAAAAAUUGUGCUACUUAGAUUUCUGGAAAGCUUAUGAAAAGUACUACAACUUAUAUAUUUUUAUCAAGGCAUGAUUCACAACUUAACUGAGCCAAACAAUACAAACAUGCAGACCUACUCAGAAUAGGUGCAAAGCAACAAAGGGCAAUUGUUAUUUUUAUAACUCUGAUUCUAUCAAUCCUAAAUUCAUGAAACAAAUUCCAGACAUCAAAUAAAUCAUGAAAAGCAUGUCCUAAUAUUUUCACAUUUAUUUGGGCAAUAACACAGCAGUUAUGAAAAAGACAAAUAUAACAAGCAAUUAAAACCUAACAGCAUAAAUCUAUUUUUACGACUAAAACUUCAAACUAAACCAUACCCUAUUAUAGAUCUACUGCAUAGAUAAUUUCACAUGGAUUCCAAAAAGUCCAUAUUUGCUAUUUUACGACUUUUCUACGAAUUUCUAUGCAUUUCCAAAGUUCAUCCAAGAAAUCUGCAAAAACAAAAGAAAAGGAAAACAGAUCUUGCACCGGGAACCCUAGCUUUUCCAGAAAUCACGCCACAGCCCAGUAACACUAUUCAUCUGAGUCUGUGGUUCGCAUCUGGAACCCUGAGUUGUUUUAUAUUCUAACACGAGGUCCCUUCUCUUCUUCUUUACGGACAGAAAGCAAGCCGGCAGCCGGCAGGACGUUCCGUUCGAGCUCGAGGCUCACGGCCGAAUGGUCACAAGCUACGGUCGUGGGUGCCGCGUCCAACCAUAGCCACGCCAAUCUCCUGGCCGGCUGAGGCAGCAGCAGCGCACCAGAGGAGCAGCACCGGCGACAGCGACAGAUGGGAGAGAGCUGGAGAGAGAAGGAGGCGAGUGGAGGAUGGGAGGGCAGUGCAGAGCGUGUUGGUGUGUGUGAGGAGCGUCUGGCGUGGCUUGCUGUCCACUUUAGACGAGCAGGAGCGCGUGUCAGCCAUGGUGGGAGUGCUCUCGCGCAUGGACGCCGCGUAGGCAAUUCGUCGAGCACGUGGCACGCGACGGUGUGGCUCAGGUGGGAGGCGAUUUUGGGCUUCUUCCGGGCCGAGUUUGAAGAUGGGCCAAAAACGAAGUUUGCUCACCUCAGCCUGCUCUCCAACUUUGAUUAAGGGUGCUCAGUCAUUAGGCCAACAGAUUAGGAGAUAAUUAGAUGCCAAGUCACAAGUGUCAACGUAUUGAUGGUGAUUAGGAAAACUAAGAAUUGAUGGUCCAAACCAUGUCAAACUUGAUGCAACUUUUUGCAUGCUCUUCUCCAAACAAUUAUCCACAACUUUUAUUCUUGGAUCAACUUGAGUUCCUUAACAAAAACACGAGAACGCGGCAUGCCAACGGGUCGAUCUCCGUUUAGCGAUAAAAUAACUUUUUGCUGUUUUGGGAGCUACUUUUAGAUAUCCAAAUAAACUCCAAAUUUGAUGAUACUUGAUCCAUUGCUUUCAUCAAGAAGAGUACUCCAACUCAUAUUAAGGAAUCUAAUUGAGUUACCAUAUGAAUUUGGAUAAUAAAAUAUCACAAAGAAGCUAACUUGCUGCUGUCACUUUCCGGGACUUAGAAUUAUUUCUCAAGGCUAAAAAGCAGCAGCUGAUUCGAACUUGGAGCCUCUGUUUGAACUAUUUGCAUACUGAUUUGGUUCUUGACCCUUGAAUACAGUUUCUUCUACACAAGCAAAACUACAACUUUCAUUUAGGGUCAAACCUCAUAACUGCAACUGAAGUCAACCUUCCACUUUGGUCAAUGCAGUAACCCGAUAAAGCUCCAAAUAGGAUUUUAGGCCAAUUGAAGCAUUUUCUUGACAUAAGCUCAACAUCAACCCUUCAUGACUUUUGUUGUAUAAUUCAUCUAGAGUCCUAUGAGCAAGUUUGGAAGGGUUGGUUCAUGACCCAUGAUUCUAUUUCCUUAAUAGAGCCAUUCCAACAAUGAUAUAACUUAUCAUUUCAUGUGACUUCUUGAUUCCAAACUUAGCCAAACCUUUCCAGAGACCAACAUAGAUUGGGAUGGAUAUAAGACACAUGAAAAAGGUUCCAUUAGCAUCAUCAAAGCAUACCUUUUAAAAAGGCAUAUAUGCAAGCAAGGUUGCAUCCACCAAGCCCAAGUUGGGGUUUACUUUCAUAGAUUGACUUUGACCUCUUUAUUACCAUUGAACUUGUCAUGUUUGAACUCAAACCUAGUACUUAGCAAGUGACAAACACCUGGGGUGUUACAGUACGCAUUGAAAUAUUACAUACGGAAACACUGCUACAUGAACAAAUGAAACAAGGAGAAGCAUAGCAGGAACAAAAUAUGAAGACAUCAAAAGAAAGUGCAGUGCAAGGCAAAUAUUACCACAAUUAAACAUACCACCAAUAUGCAGUUCUAUUAUCUAGUGUUGCCACUGAACCUAGAACACAAAUUAAAAAUGCCACUAUACGUACCUUACUAAUCGAAGAGAUACCCACGAUUCACGCAGUCCGUAACAAGUGCACGACCAUACACUGUUGUCCACAGCAAGACCCUGCACUCAUUGCAAUUAAACAGGUCAGCCGCAGAUAUUGUACCAGAGCACAAGCAAAUUACAUUAACAAAAACACAAAAACCACAGAAAUCAGUUGUGAAAUUGACCAUAACAUACAAAGAAUUAUAGAGCAAAGCAAAACUGCUUUGCACAAGUAGCUCAGUGAAAAAAAAUUACAGCCUCAAGUCAGCCCAUAGGGCAAUACAUGCAUGUAGCCGAAAAAACACAAAUCAAUACAAGACGCAAACAAGCGCAAAUGGAAAACGAUACAAGACAUGGAAAUGUCAUCCGAGGUGUGCACAACACAAAUGGAAAACGAUACAAGACAUGGAAAUGUCAUCCGGUGUGCACUGCACUGAAUGAGGCACCCAGUCACUACUUGGGGUUCCCAUUGACAUGCCAUGCGAGCCGCGCAUGACGCUCUUGUGCAUUCAGCAAAUUCUUGAAUUCCCUAUGGUACACUGAGUUCUUGAACAGCUCCAAUGCAACGAAAAACAUAGUUGAACAUCCUGGCACUCCAUCAUCUCGUAAAAGCUUCAUUGCUUCAUCGACCUCAGCUUGUUCUCGGGUCCGUUCUCGAUCACGAGAACUGCUCCUAGCAGCAAUGCUUUCAGAAAUACGGGCCAUGUACUCCCCCAUGUCACAAGAUUUCUUCUUCACCGGGCUAGUUGCACCAUGCUCUCUAGAGGGCCUCUUAGACCUAGAAUUGUUGGUUGAGAGUCCAGGCGGGAAAAUUGGCGGAGGGAUUGCAUCCCGAUGCCCCCCGGCUGACAUAAAAAUGCCUGUGUUACUGUUACGGUCACCGUACAAUGCUUCAAGUAGAUCCAGGAACUUUGGUGCCUUUGCACGUGUUGGAACUGGUGAGCUUGGAUCCUGGAAACAAAUCGAACAGUACUGUAAGUACUUCCUGUGUACAAGACAUGGGAGUAUGGAACCAAACUAUGUAGAGCUGAAAAUGUGAGCGCACGUGCCUCUCCCUGAGGCUGGGAACCGUACUGUGUGUCCCAAUACUCAGGUUCUGCAGCAAUGUCACGUGUGCGUGGUUCCCUACCGAGACCAGUGGCUAUCUGGCUUGCUUUCCAUUUGACAUAUGUGCUUUUUAGGGCAUAGAGUUUGUUGUUGCAUUGCUUCUUAUCAUAGUGAGGGAAGUAGGUGUAAACGUUGGACCACCCAGUAUUAGUCAGCCCAAGAUAACUGAAGUUCAAUUUGUCCUUCUCUUGAAGGCACAAUCUCAGCAAGAGCCUUGUCUCCUCAUCAUUCCAGUGUGCACGUGACAUCUGUCGGAACAUGCAAGUGCUAAUAUAGAUUGGGGCUAUGCAAAAUGAGGGCACUGAACCAAGCAUAGGAACAUGAACAAAGUAAAAGGCAUUGUGUAGUGAGCAAGAGAGUAUAUACUUGCCUUCCUUGCGCGUUUGAUGAGCCGGGGACGCAGCUUGUAUCGUGCAGCUUACGGCGGUGAGCUGGAAGCUGUCGACGAAGCUGCCAGUCUAGGGAAUUCGGUAGGAGACCUGCAAUACAAAAAACAAUGAAUUAGGUUUGUUUUGUCCAUUGCAGUUUGGAAUGCAGUGUCGUGCUAAAUUCAUAAUGGCAUCCAUCUUUUAGGGUGGAUAGAGGAGUUCAUGAAGCGGACUACAGAUGAUUUGCAAAUAAAAUGGGCUUCACUAAGCUUAGCCUUGUGCUGCCUCGCCUCGGAGUGUGAGCAGACUGCUCGUCAUCGAAAUGUGACAACUUACAACAAAAUCAUGAACAAUGAUGGGGAUUGAAGAUACAAGAGUGCAGGCCUUUUGUGCUUCGCAAACCCUAACCGUUACCUGAAACAAGCACACUAGGAACAGCCAUGGGCUCCACACCAUACCCUAAACGCUACACCGAGGCACAGAGCGCAAAUCCUCCCACUCCCCAAAAUAGGAACUCUAACCAUGGAUUUGUCCAGUUCAAGUAACCAAAACCCUAGAAACAGAAUGGUACAUGGAAAGGGGAUGAGGAAACGAAUCGGGGGCGUACUGGAGAAGUUGAAGGAGCACCGGAGAAGUUGGAGGAGCUCGUGCUCCGACCACCGCGGAGUCUCCGAGGCGACGACGCAUACGGGCGCCGGGGAUGGGUGAGUGCUAGGGGGUUGACGGACGAGAGGCGACCGUUGAUAGCGUACGAGUUUGGUUCGGCAGCGAGGGGGGAGGGGGGCACGGUCAUCUCAAAAAUAAAAAUAGCUCACAAUAGUUCAUUAAGCCAUUGUAGCUUCAACAAAUAAGCACUUAGAUUUACAUAUGCACAUGGUUCAAUUUGUAUAUAGGUAGCAUCUACACCCAUUUUAACUACUUGAGUCUGCCACUAGCAUCAGAUCAGGACUAGUUAAUUAAGCUCUAAAUUAGGACCGGGCCAGAGGAAUCGACCAACCAGAAGCAAAGAUCAUGCGCACAACGGACAAAAAGUAAUCACCUCGAGAAGGACCUUGGAAGGGGACCAGCGGGAUUUGGAAGGCACUUGGCUUUAUUGUCGCUGUCGGGCGGAGCUGGUCCAGGCGUUGCAGAUGAUGGGGACGAGAGCCGAUACCUCGCUGGCCCGGGCGAGCUCGCAGUAGGGCACGCCGCUGCGCCUGGAUGGAGUGGCAAGUCGUUGCCGCGAGUGGGCGGCCAGAGGGCGCGCGAGCUGGCACGCACUCGAGCAGCCACGGGGGGAAAAAGCGAGAGGGCAGGGGGGAAGAAGCCACACGGCUCGCGGCCCAUCGGUGGGAGGGUGGGACGAUUAAUGUUUUUUAAAAAAAAAUCGCAAAUACCGGUGAUGGAGGUGAAAAUUCUAGGACGGGGUGCUCUCGACGCAAGAGGCAGGGCGAGUGAAUUUCCAGCUCGGACACGAAAUAUAUCCAGCCGAGGGUCCUCUGUCUUCAACUACGGUCUUGUUUAUAUACUUCACUCAAAAUCAAAAAAUUUUCAAGAUUUUUCAUCAGCACAUGUAUUUUAGCAUUAAAUAUAGAUGAAAAUAAAAAUCUAAUUACAGAGCUUGUCUUUUAAAGUCUAUUUACUCCGGUGGAUUUAUGUCCUGACAUGAUUCGAGAUGCCGUGCAUGGCUCGAGCGCUGCAGUGUUGGUGGGAGCCACCACAAAAUAGAAAAGAGUAAAAAUUACGGUCUGUACAAAGGAUACAGUAACUCCACUCAAUCAAUUUUUUAUUAGCCAAAAAUUACGGUUUGGCUAGUUUUAGCAGGACACUUAAAAAUACCAGCUGCCAGCUACCGUCACUGUGGAGGGUCCACCGAGCGCAAGCCAGCUGCCCCGCCAAUGCGCGCCACAGUCAAGGGAUUUGACGUCCUAGGGCAGGCGUGCGCAGGUCUGCUGCAGCAUUGAAGGCGGCACGCGAUUGCAUCCAAAGGCGUGCUGCUGAUCGACGACCGGCCUUGCUACACAUGCGCGCGCGCGGCGCUGCCAACAACGUUUUGGAUUCUUGUUCCGAUGUAAGCAUGCAUGCGUGGUCCGAGUUUAUUGCGACAGUACAAGCUUAAGCUGCUUCUAAAUUCUAAUCCACAGAGAGAUGUUGUCUGGUUUUUGUUUGCUUCAAUCCAAAGUCAUAGUUAUUUCGUUGUCUCUGUACUUGCCUGCUUAAGUGUGACAGUAGAGGUGCAUCAACUAUUCCUUUGUUUUUAUUGUGUUGUGGCAAAGAAGGUCAUGAUGGCUCACGAAUAGAGGUGUGAAUAAUGGUGGUAGGUGGCGGUUGAAGCGCUUGUGAUCCAAGGGCCCAAGCUGGGCCCCACCAUGCUCAGCCAAGCUGCCUUGCUACCGCCUUGGGCUCUGGGAUGGAAAAAAUGCUUUGGUACUUGUUUAGUUCACCCCAAAAUUCAAAAAGUUUUCAAGAUUUUCUGUCACAUCGAAUCUUGCGGCAUAUGCAUGAAGUAUUAAAUAUAGACGAAAAUAAAAACUAAUCAUACAGUUUGACUGUAAAUUACGAGACGAAUCUUUUAACCUAGUUAGUCUAUGAUUAGAUAAUAUUUAGCACAAACAAACGAAAAUGCUACAGUUUCGAAAACUUUUCAGUUUUUGGAACUAAACAAGGCCUUGGGAUGGGGCUGCAGAUGAGUGCAAGUGCACAGCGAGCCGACCGUCAUGGACGUCCGUGUCCGUCCGCAUGAGCACGUUUGGUUCCCGAGCAGGUUGGGCCCCCCGCCAUUCCCUUCCAAGCUAGGCCUUGUUUAGUUUCCAACAAAUUUUGCAAAAUUUUUCAGAUUUCCCGUCACAUCGAAUCUUUAGACGUAUGCAUGAAGUAUUAAAUAUAGACGAAAAUAAAAAUUAAUUGCACAGUUUAACUGUAAAUCACGAGAUAAAACUUUUGAUCCUAAUUAGUCCAUGAUUGGACAAUAUUUGCCACAAACAAACGAAAUUGCUACAGUAGCGAAAUCCAAAAUCUUUUCGUAUCUAAACAAGGCCUGGACCUUGUUCAGUUCCAAAGUUGUUGCUUCUGGGAUAUUGUAGCAUUUUGUUUUUAUUUGACAAAUAUUUUUCAAUCAUGGAUUAACGAAGCUUAAAAGAUUCAUCUCUAGAUUUAUAGUUAAACUGUACAAUUAGUUUUUAUUUUUAUCUAUAUUUAAUAUUUCAUACAUAUGCCGUAAGAUUCGAUUUGAUGAAAAAUCAUGAAAAAAAAUUUGAUAGUUUUUGAAACUAAACAAGGCCUUAAGUUUUUUAUUCAAAGUCGACGGAGAGCAGAGCUGUCUCAGGUAUCUACUGCGCAAUAGCGUGGUUGCUGCGCAACAGUGUGUGGUUGCCUCGUCCGGUCUUCGAGGUAGAGCCGUGCACACUAGGCGGAGUCCGCUACAGGCUAUCAUGCUUUCUUCCUGGCAGAGGCGGGAAAGUGCAGUACCUUGGGGCCUUUUUUUUUUCCUUUUUUGUCACCACAGACACAUUGCCAUUUUUGUUUUUUCAAAACUCCUAACGCCGCGUCCACACCUGGGGAGGCUCGAGCGCCCGCAAGGCUAGCUCUUUGGGCGGCGGCCGGCCGUGGGCGCGCGCUUGGCUCUGAGGUGGGAGCUAGCGGGCGGCGCGGGGGCAGGCGCGCACGGCAGUGGGAGGCGUGCGCGGCUGCUGCCCGGAAGGCGUGCGAGGCGCGGCCGGGCGCGCGCGGAAGGCAGCCUUGCGUGCGGCUGCGCGCGGGGGGCAGGCAGGCACGAUGGAGGUACGUGCGGCGGCGAGCGCGCGCGACGCAGGCUCCGGCAGCAUAUGAGGCGGGGGCAUAUGCAUAUGCAUGCUAGCUAAUUGACUUAAUUGAUUGCCCAGCGAUCACUCCAACUAGUUAUGCUCUGCUUUCCAUCCAAUCCUCCAUCAUCUCCCCGCGGCGUGCUCAGCAGCUGAUCAGCUCCGUCAGGUCAGCAGAUGGACCAUCCCUGUGUUUUGAACUACUAAAAUUUAGUUAUCUAAAAUUUUACAAGGAAACCAUGCAAACAGAGCCUUAAUAGCGCAUUGUAUAAUUUAAUUGGGCUUUACUGACGGUAAUCUGCUGUUUAUUUAUUUCGAUCGGAUGAUCACGAUCAAAUAUUACCUGCCUAGGAGGUAAUAUAUGAAGCAUUUAUUUAAUUAAUUUUUAAUUUUGGAAAAUAUGACAAAUCUGGAAAAGCUUUAAGAUCGUUUUAGAUCUAAUUGAUGCAUUCAUGAUCCAUUGAAUGUGGUAAAUCUUCUUAUUUUUUCAACCUUAUAUAUAGCAUAAUUUAAUUAACAUAAACUACAUAACUUUUAUAUUCAAGUAACUCGCGUAUACGUGUAUGCAUGUGCUCAAAGUGACGUGAAAAACGAUGUGUACAUGUAUGUGCCCAACAUAUAUUUCUUUUCCUUUUUUCUUUUCUUAGAUCAAUUAAUUGAUUUUAAAAAUCUAAAAACUAAUGACUCGGAUUUAUUUGAAAUAUUACAUCCUUAGAGGUAAAAAGGGUGUAUCUUAGCAUUGCCCAAUUCAAUUUGUUCUGUGUGAGUGCGCUUAAUUAUAAUUCUAUCUCGAUCUCUGCAGGAGGGCGAGCUCGCUUACUUCUUGAUCUUUGUAGUACAUGCUUCGUCAGCCAUCCUCCGGCAGUGCUUCGCCUCCCAGCAGGGCCAGUGGGUGAGCUCUCAGCAAAACUUGUGCAACUUUGCAUUCUGAAAUCAGAUCUGACAAAAUAAUUAUGUUGUGUUGAUUGACUUAAUAUUCUUUUAUUUUCAUUUUUUUAGACUAUGGCUGAUCGAAACCGUUGGAUGUAUCUUGGGAAUCGUACUAGUUUUGAGUACGUGAAUGGUCUUCAAUCUUUUCUGAAAGUUGCAAGUAGAGAUAUGUCGAAUGGACAUAAGUCAGCAGUGUGGUGUCCAUGCAAUGAUUGUCAGAAUGAAAAGCAAUUCUCGUAUUUGCUAGAAAUCCAUGCUCAUCUACUAAUUCGAGGAUUUAUGGAUGACUAUAUAUGUUGGAACAAACAUGGAGAAGAAGGUACCAAUGACCGAGACCAAGCGCAGGCUGCUGGUCAACAGGAUGGUGAGGAUAGCCUCCAUGAAUUCAAUGAUACAUGUGGCGAGGAAGCACCCUUUGGCAAUCAAGAACUUCGUGAUGAUGAUGUAGCAGAUAUAGCUGCGAGCUUUGAUGAAGUCCAUCUUGCCGAGAAUCUAGAGGAGAUGGUGCGUGAUGCAGGCUUUGCUAGUUACGCUUGUCCAGAUUUGAAGAAGCUGGAACAACUGUUAAAGGAUAUGAAGACCCCACUCUAUCCGAAUUGCAGGAGGUAUACAAGGUUGUCUGGUUCGCUAAAGCUUCUCCAAUUGAAGGCAUCAAAUCAUUUGACUGACAGGGGCUUCAAAGAAAUGCUAGAAGUGCUUGCAGAUAUGUUUCCUGAGGAGAAUGAGAUACCCAAGACUACAUAUGAGGCCAAAAAGAUUAUCUGUCCAAUGGGAUUAAAGUUUGAGAAAAUUGAUGCUUGCAAGAAUAAUUGCAUCUUGUUCACUGGUGACAAUAAAAAAGCCACGGAAUGCCCCAAGUGUCAAACCUCUCGUUACAAACAAGGAACUGGUGAGGUUGUUGGUGGCAUGAUGCGUCGUAAAGUACCUAUGAAGGUCGUAUGGUACUUCCCUAUAAUCCCUCGCCUAAAACGGUUGUUUGCAACCUCUAAGGACGCACAACUGUUGACUUGGCACUCAGAUGGCCGGAAGGUUGAUGGUUAUAUACGACACCCAGCAGAUGGUAUUCAGUGGCGGUACAUUGACAACAAAUAUAAAUCUUUCGCUAAAGAACCAAGGAAUCUUCAGUUUGCACUAAGCACAGAUGGUAUGAACCCAUUUGGUAAAAUGAGUAGCUCACAUAGCGUCUGGCCUGUGUUGUUAAGUAUCUACAACCUUCCACCCUGGUUGUGUAACAAGCAGAAGUACAUGAUGAUGUCAAUUUUGAUCUCUGGUCCGCAUCAACCAGGUCUUAGCAUCGACGUGUUUCUAAGGUUGCUUAUUGAUGAUUUCCAAGAACUCUAGAAAGAAAAGGGUAUUAAGGUGUAUGAUGGUUUUAGGAAAGAGUCUUUCGACUUACGUGCCAUGUUGUUCACCACCAUCACUGAUAUUCUAGGACAUCGUAGCAUUUCUAGGCAGAGCAAAGGAGAAAAAGACUGCUUUCAGUGCUUAGAUGACACCGAGACUGUUUGGCUAAAUAACUCAAAGAAAAGAGUUUAUGUAAGGCACCGGCGUUUCCUUCGUAUGUCUCAUCAUCCAUACCGGGAAAUGAAACAUCAGUUUGAUGGGACGAGGGAGACCGGAUCUGCUCCAAGGCAUUUCAAUGGUGAACAUGUUUAUGAGCAGGUGCUAAAGGAUAUCACACCUACAGUUAACCCUAAGAGCACUGUUCUUGGAAAGCGAAAGCGCAAUGAAAAAACAAAUAGUGUCGAUAAAAAGAGGUGGAAGAAAAUGUCAAUCCUAUGGGAGCUACCUUACUGGAAAGACCUUAGGGUCCGCCACAGCAUCGACCUCAUGCACGUGAAAAAGAAUGUCUGUGGGAGUUUACUUGGGACACUCAUGAAUGAUAAACUUAAAACCAAGGACCAUGCAAAAGCAAGAGCUGACCUAGAGGAGUUGGAUAUAAGGCCCGAGCUCCAACCUAACGGUGCUAGUGCCCCGCCACGUUUAUGUGCCGUAAACCUAACUCGAUCAGAGAAGCAAGAAUUGUGUGACUUCUUUCGUAGUGUCAAAGUUCCCUCUGGAUACGCGACUGACAUCCGAAAACUUGUACAUCCAAAAGAAAACAAAAUGCUCCCCAUGAAGGCUCAUGAUUGUGAUGUUAUGCUCACAACAAUGCUUGCUGUUGGUAUUCGGAACAUAUUGCCAGAAAAAACCCGAAAGGCAAUCAUGAGUCUCUGCUUCUUCUUUAAUGCAAUCUCUCAGAAGGUCCUUGAUGAAGAGUCACUAUAUGAUCUUGAAGAAAACAUAUAUGAGACAAUGUGUCUCCUUGAGGCUUACUUCCCGCCGUCUUUCUUUGACAUAUCGGUCCAUCUCAUUAUACAUUUGGUUAAGGAAAUCAGGUAUCUUGGACCGAUGUUCCUCCACCACAUGUAUCCAUAUGAGAGAUUUAUGAGUACUUUGAAUAAGUAUGCUAAGAGUCGAGUUCACCCUGAGGGAAGCAUGGCGCAGUGCUAUUCUACUGAAGAGGUGGUCGACUGGUGCCUCAGUUACAUUGACCCCACAAAUCCAAUCGGCAUCUCCAAGUCUCGCCAUGAGGGAAGGCUAGCGGGGAAAGGGUUUCUUGGGGAGAAGAAAAUUAUUCCGGAUGCAGAUGACUUUGAAAGAGCCAAGUUUCCAGUGUUACAACACACAAAAGGAGUGGAACCUUACAUCACAGAGCAUAAGGAGGAAUUGAGGCAACUUUAUCCACACAGGGGCGAGUUUUGGGUAGUGAGGACACAUAUGAAUGAGUUCAAUAAUUGGUUUAGAGAUAAAUUUUCCAGUUCAAGCUCUUGCACAGACAAUAAGCUACGACAGGUGGUAGCCGGCCCGUUCUUCACAGUCACAACUUAUCAGGGCUAUGACAUAAAUGGCUACACGUUUUACACCAUUGAUCAAGACAAGAAAAGUGUGUACCAGAACUCUGUUGUUCGUGUAGAUGCAUUUAACAGCAACAUGCAGAAGACAAUAUACUACGGCCAGAUUGAAGAGAUAUGGGAACUCUCGUAUCAAGGCUUCAAGAUGCCUCUUUUUCGGUGUAGAUGGGUUAAGGGAGGACAUGUCAAGAAAGACCCAUAUGGCUACACCACAGUUGACCUUGAACAGAUUGGGUACAAGGAAGAGCCGUUUGUAGUCGCAAGUCUGGUUUCCCAAGUCUUCUAUGUGCGUGACACUAGAAACAUGAAACAACUUGUGGUUCUCCCUGGGAAAAAGAGGGUUGUGAGAGUUGAAAAUCCAGUGGAAGAGGAAGAGUUCAAGCAAUCCAAUGAAGUCUCUCCUUUUGAUACUUCCAUCCUCCCUGUGCUUUUGGCGAGCGAGCUAACGCCAUACCUAAGAGCUGGUCGUAGAGAGAGUGCUCCCGUGGAAAAAACACGCCGAAAACAGCAAGCACGUAGAAAAUGAUGCUCAUGUGAGUUUUUGAGCAAAUGCCCCUAUGAUUUUUUAGAACAAUUAAGCCUCUUGGUGAUUUAGCAAGCUGCUUAUAACUUGAUGUUUAUUUAUUAUGCAGGUAUAUAUAUAGGAGCUCCUCAACUGCUUAAGUUGCUGCUGCUGCACUUCGAACACAUGGAAUCUGAUUUACUUGGUAGAGAUAUAGGCGCUAGCAGAUGGAAAUGUUUAACUCUACCAGAAGUUGGUUGCUUUCUGGUGUAAAAUUCUAGAACUGAUCAGUAUAACUUAUUAUAUGCAAUAUAUAUAUUGGUGUUGCAGUUGGCACAAUGUACUUUAUUCUUUAAUUUUGGCCUCUUAUUUGAUUCUUCUUAUUAGUAACUAUAUGCAACACAACAAUCAAGAGUGGCAGACACAACUCUAAUGAGGUCCAUAGGCAAUUCAGAGAUUUGUGUCAUCCAGAUGCUGCAUAGAUGAUGAAUCGGAAUUUCCACAUAUUUGUCUUUGGUAAAUGAGAGGAGCUUUUCUUCUCUGAUUUUACAAUCGGUGGCAUUGUGGGUUUUGUUGAAUAGAUGACAAUGCAUAUAAAGAGCUAAUGAUGUUUCAUGAGAUUUUCACUUAAAUAUCAAUGUGAAUUUUCACUUAAAUAUCAAUGUGAAAAGUGCAGUUGAAACAUGUGACCAUCAAUUUUUACUUCAAAGAAAGAUGCGAACAUCAUGCUUCAUUUCGAGAGAACUUUGGUUUUGAUGUUAAUUUCAUUUGAACUUCUCUUGAGUUAUAGGAUGGCAUACUAUUAAGUGGGGUUGAAAAUGAUAUUACUUAGUUGUUUCUUUAAGUGCUCAAUAGAUCUUUUAUUAACUCUAUAAACACCUCUAUCAAAAUUUCCCUUGGUCAAGACAGAGAACCCUUCCUCAGAAAUAUUACUCAUCCGACCUAGAAAUUCAUCCUUCUAUUUUCUCGUUCCAAGACAGAGAACCCUUCCUUGGAAUUAUUACUUGACCGUGUUGGAAAUUCCUCCGUCCAAAAACCUGUAAAAUUUCCCUCGGCCUCCUCAGAAAUAUUACUCACCCGACCUGGAAAUUCAUCCUUCAAUAUUUUCUCGUCAAAUUAUUACUUCACCGAGUUGGAAAUUGCUCCGCCCACAAAUAAUUCAUCCUUCUAUAUUUUCUCGUUCCAAGAGAGAGAACCCCUCGGAAUUAUUAGUACUUCCCAGAGCUAGAAAUUCCUCCGUCCACAUCACAGCCAUUUCAUUCAAACGGAGUUCAUUGCACAAUUGAUUGGUUUCAAUGAACAAAACACAUUUCCAUUACAAUACCUACUAAUACUUCAGCAUCAUGCUGAUGACACCAACAACAACAAACACAGUAACAAUCACACAACAGACAACUCCAAUUUGGCCUAGGCCUACAAGCUUAUUCAGCUUUGCAUCUAAACCAGCAAUCCCACUCUUCAGUGCCUCCACAUCAUGUUCUUCUCCCUGCAACCCUCCAAGCUCAUCAUUAUUCACAACUUGUUGUCCAUGGCCGCCUUCUUUGGCAAUCAGUCCCCUUGCAACCAGCAAUUGCUCAUACUUGUCUUGAAACAAGUACCAAGGGCACGUUCCUGGCACCUGCACUUGCAAAUUCCUGACCAAAUCAGGCACAGUCCCGGAUCAAAGGCAAGAAAAUACAAACCCUAUAGCAAAAAAUGGCACUGAGGACUUACAUCUCUUUCAUGAAACCGGCAUUUGAAGAAAAUGGACCCAGGAACCUUGGAUCCGGGAACACAAACGAGCUCCAAGACCUCCGCACCACACUUGGGGCACGACACAAGCGGAAGCCCAGUCUUCUCCCCACGGUCUGAUGCCAGACGCUGGUAAGCAGAGCUCCCAGCGCCGCUAUGGUCGGACGACGCUCGCAUGAGGUACGACUUGGGGGAGGGUGGAUGGGCUCAGGGCAGCGGCAAUGGUGGAAGGUGACGGCGGCGUCGACAGCCGGCAGAGGUGACGGCGGCGUGGGAACGGCUCCUGUUCGGGCCCGGGGAGAGACGAAAUGAGAAGGAUCGGAGAGGAUGAGGUCACGCUCCUGUUUUGUCCGGUUCAGACGUGAAACAGUGAGGGCAGGAUGGUCUUUUGGCGUCCCUUCUUCGAGGCGCCUUUCUAGCACAGCGAUCCAGACAUCCACUUCAUUUUUUCCGCAUCUCGCCAGCAUUGCCCUGCCUGCCUGCGCCCUCGCUGCCCCUCCUCGGCAGCGACCCGAGCGGCUCCGAUCCAGGCUGUGCCGUGCCGGUUUGCGAGCUCACCCGGGCCAGCGAGGCGGCUCUCGUCCCCAUCAUCUGCAGCCCCCGGACCAGGUGCUCCGCCCGACAGCGACAAAGCCAAGUGGCCCUCUGGUCCCCUUUCUCAAGCACGUGAAGGUCCUUCUCAAGGUGAUAUCUUUUUGUCCGAUCUGCGCACGUUCAUCGCUUUUGGUCGAUUCCUUUGGCCCCCUCAUAAUUUAGUGCUUAAUUAGUCUCGAUCUGCUGCUACUUUGCAACCCUAGUCUUUUUCUUUGCAAAAUCCAUCAGUUGGGUUUGUGCCAGUGGCGGACACUAGUAUAUACUAGAAACCAUGCGCGGCUUUGCCGCACUCCUGCCUGUGUUGGCCAGUGCCCAGUCCGUGAUGCAUGCGGGAGUAUGUGGAGACCAUUACUGUGCUCCUUUGCUGCUUGGAUAAUAUAUAAGAAUAUCCAUCAUUAUAUUGAUUUUGAAUGAGAAAAAUAUUGUGAUGCAAAAUAGUAAUAAUUGAAAAUAUCAAAUAAUUACCUAUGGCAUUACGAUGAUAAGAAUAUGCAAUUUGCAACUUUCUAAAUGUGUAGCAAGUACAGAUCUUACUUUAAGUUUGUAAACAUAUAAACAAUUCAACUCAGUCCCUAUCCUUGUUAGAGCACUGAGCCAGAUAUACUUUGAGUCCUUUGAUGUCGCUAGUAGAUCAAUCUGUGACAUAUAGUAUCAACAAGUAACUAAAUGUAAAAAGAUGUGCAAGCUGAUAAUGUUAGCAGCUGAAUAUUCACUUACGUAGUUAGUAAUUGCAAGAUCGACUACUAACAAGCUGAGAAAAGUUAUAAAUAAUUGAAUUUACAUGGACAUUUUACUAGCAUCGUUUGAUCUGUUAACCAUGCUUCAGAUAUAAAUCUUGGUGAAGUUUAAUAGGGGUCACUCCUGAUAGAUCUCUUAUAUAUAGCUAAAUUUGUCUUUCUUCAACUAAUCAUGCCCCACCUGCAGGAUAUUGUAAAGCAAAGGAUGAUAAGAAGGGAUUUAUGUAAGUAGACAUCAAAUUUGAAUAUGUUCAAUAGCUAAAUUUAUAAUAUAGAUCAAGUUGGCUGAGUGUAUGAAGAUAGCGAGAAGUGUACAAUGAAAUGUCAUGGUGUUUAGGACAUUUAACUGAUGAAAUUAAGUAUAAUAAGAAGUAUCAGUAUGAGAAAAGUAAAAGUUAAACAUGUUUGAGCAGGGCUGAGAAUGAAGUGGCAACUAUAUCCAAACUGUAUGUGGGAAAAAGUAAACACCAUAGACAUGGAAUAAGGUACAGGCAUAUGGAUGAGCUAACACUUGAUUACUCCAGUGGACUUAUUACUGACUUGUACCUAUCCUUGGAUUUAUUCCUCCCCAUAAUAUUGUCUAAAUAACAAUACACCAUACCAUCGUGGACACAUGCAUUGACAGAUAAAUUUAUGAAUACAGUUGCCCAAAUUGUAGGAAAUAGGAUAUUUGGCAUUCAAGUUGUUCUAUGCUUUAAAUACUAAAUCUGUGUAUAAAAAUGAUAAUAAUCUUGAAUACAGUCUUUUGCAGGCCCUGUUAGUUUUUUUUUACCACAAUCCUAUAUUUGUUUAGCAGCCCUACUCGAUGAGUAUACUUGUUUGCCACUAAAUGACACUAAAGGAAUGCUCAUCCACAAAUUUCAUUCUGUUGUUUAAUUCAUGUAUAUUUCCUUUGACAGUUUAGCAAACAUCUGAGUUAAUUAAAGCCUAGAACUAAACACAUCAAAACGAAAAUUCAACCAGGAGCUGAGUAGCUGACACAUUUGCUUGUCAAAGUAGCAUAACACAUGGAUAUGUAAGUGUAGAGCAUAGAUUAAAAAAGAGAGAAAUCAGAAUGGGAGAAAUAUGUGUUUAAUACCUGAAGUUGUUUGGGGUUCUUGGUGUUGUUGGUUCUCACCUUGGCAAGUGAUGCGCCCUUGCUGGCUGCACUGUGCACAUGGAGAUGACUGGAGAGUGGCAGCACCUCUAUGUCGCAUUGAAAAGCUAGUUCCCAUUUCUGCUGCGGCAUUUUGUCAAAUAGCUUUUGAGCAUAGGUAGGGGACUCGAUAAUGAUCCCCUGCUGCUGCGCCGCCGGUCCACGACGCUUCGGCGAGGCCCUGGCGUGCUGCCCCAGUUUUGAUCUCUCUCUCUCUCUCUCUCUCUCUCGUGGUCCAGGCCCCCGGCCAUGGCGGGUUGGAGCUGCUCCCUGGCGUGGUGGCGAGAUGGCCCUAGCCCCAGCGCUACUCCUCCCUGGUGCGGGCGUGGCCAGCUCUCCGGUGUGGGAUGCGGCCAGCGGCGCCUGCCGCUUGCGAUGCGCAGGCAGAGGGGAGGGAACGGCCAGAGAACUGUGGUCCGCGAAGGUUCACGAUGAUGGAUCGGUCGAGACCCGAACUGACCCGUAUCGGACAGACCAGAUCGCUUGACCGCUUGAUCCAACGGGUGUCGGGUUAGCGGGCGACGUGGCCCUAUCCAUUAGCCCGCUUUUGGUGCAAGAAUCAUAUUUAGAGAUAACGUUGGGUGCUACAUAUAUUUGCACGAACAUGCGGCCGGCAUUGAAGUAGAGUGGCCGCGGCGGGCCAAGCUCCUGCUCCGGCCACGCCACGCGCUCAGGGCACUGGUGGUAGUAGCCGAUCAAAUUGUGCAGGGAGUUAAGCAUUUAUGUGUUCAAGUUUAUAUCCAGUUGUGCCCAUAAAAAGAAGGCUAGUCCAUAUGCUUGGGUUUUUGAACAUGAAAAUCCUGGUUAGGAUGCUGCAGGUAUAUAAAGCAAAAGGUCAUUAGCAGCAGCAAUAGGGGAUGUGUGAAAUGCUGAACAAAUAGUAGUCAUUAUGUAAAGGUGCCACCGAUUUCUGUAAAGCUAACACAUAGGAAACUACGUACUACUCAGAUCUUCUGUAAAACUAAUACCUUGUAUAAACCACUCAGAUUUUCUAUUACGAUGGGAUGACAGUUAUCAAUUAACACUGUUUAGCAUACAAUUACUGGAUGAGUGAAUUCAGGGAAUUAUAUUCUUAUAUACAUUUGGUUAUUUAAAGCAAUACUGGCUUGAUGGAAGCACUACCAAAAACAUAAUAAGCAAUUAUAAGAAACAAACCAAAGUGUCUCAUGAACUCAAGCACAAAAGGAAGAUGAAUAAAGCAGUGAAUGAAUUAAUGCUGAAUAGGCUGGAUAUUACACUGGUUGAGAUGCUGCAAUAGACGCUUCUCCAUGUGAGUACAGAUAUAGGGCUGUCAUGCUAGUAGGGACAAUUAAAGUCAGCCAAGUAGCACACUAUCAAUAAAACAACAAAAAACAUUGCAUGUGUGUCAAAUACAAAUAAUAUUAAAGGACUUACAAAAAGUAACUUCAGAUUGAAAAGAGAUGAAGGCAGCAUAAAGAAUAUUAAUAAAAGGAAGAAACAACAAACAUGAUAUGUGUCUAGAAAUCCUGAUAUCUUAUAAGAGAACCAGAUUGAAAAGGGGACCAAUUAUCAAAAUGAUUUGGAACUAGAAAUGUACCAGUAAAUCAUGUUGCUUAAGAAACAGUAGAGUACAUUUUACACAGGAAAGUAAGUUCAUCAUAUGCUUGCUCGCAGAAAUCUACAAGUAUAGUUGUCGUGCAGACUAUUGCAGUGCAACUCAACAGAAUAGAUAGUUGUGAACUCAGCACUCAAGCCAAGCCAGUAGUAUUGAUGCACUUCCAAAGGAAAAGGAAACACAGAGAUACAAAUAAUGGUAAUACCAUGCGCUUGUACUCCACGAACUGCAUGUCUCAGGCAUAUGAAUUAGUUGCUUUGCUGGUUCUUAAUUUAACUGUGAUCAUCAAUUGGAUGGAACAGAGAUACAAAUGGUAAUAACAUACUAUACCUCCCAGAUCCGGAGCCUGUAGUACAAUUCAUGUUGUACCUAAUGUAAAAUACAAAGAAGAGUCAAUCAAGAAGCUGUGUGAAAGGAAAAAUACUAUGCUAUUUAGGGGCAUUGUUAACAACAAACUGUCAAUGUCUAAAUGUUACUCAUCUAUCCACUGAGAUUGUGUGAACACUUGCAAGAAUCUAAAAAUAGUAUUUUGAGUUCAAUUGUUGCUGAUUGGGGUAUAAAGUUCAGAAAAAUUAGUUAAGUAUAUUUUAAAAAAAGAUAGAUGGUAUGGUGUAUUACUGCUUUGAAUGUCAACUAUCCUAGAAACCGAAUCUUGAAAAAUAUAUUUGGACAAGUUAUACACUGUUAUCAAAUAAUACAACUGAUGUAAGUUCUUUUGCUCGUUGUUUCCAGGAAUCUGACAAAGAAAAAAGGCUGCUGGUCACUAGUCCGUUAGUUGUUGUUUCUUCGGAGUUGUAGCUGUUGACUAAGUACAGAUCCCUUUCCGAAUGGUAAGCUAAUUAGUUUGUGAUAUACUAACACUACUUCUAGAUAGAUGGCAGAGUUGUAUCAUGGUCAAUAAGACCCUUUAAUAUAUUUUGUUUUAUAGGUCUCUGAUGAGGAAUAUUUAUCAUCAAAUGCCGACGAAAGAGUUGAUAGUGAAGAGGAGGAAGGGACAGAUGCUAAUACAGAGGACCAACAUAGUGAUGAUUCUACACAGGAGGGAGCGGUAGAUGCUGAUGCAGAGGUGCUAGCAUCUCAACCUCGGUGUCCACUCCGGAGAAAGAGGACAGUCACAAAGUGGCCAGAAGACAAGAUAGUUGUCAUGGAGCUCACGGAGGAUGGGAUGCCCAAUGAGAAGGAGGCCAAGGCAAGAAUGAGGAGGCUUGCUGGUUUGAUUGCUAGGCAAAGGAUAUCCUUGGUCAUCGCAUCAUUCAGUGUCCUAAGUGAUGAAGAUAAGAUGCAUUUAUUUGAUGAUUGUGUCCAGCCUAAGUUGGAGUUUGCAGAAGAGUUAAAGGAUAUGGCUUGUAAGAAGAUGAUGCAGAUGGUAGCCAAAUGUUGGAGAACACACAAAAGCCACCUAGUAAGCAACUAUGUCAGCAAAGGGUUGAAUGCCACGACCAAGUUCAAAUACAUUGCUCCAAAAGAUUGGGAAGAUUUUGUGACACUAAAGCAGAGCGAACCUACAAAGAAAGAAAGUAUGAGAUUCAAGAAGCUUCGGGAGAGGAACAAGCAUGACCACCACCUGGGGACAGGGGGCUAUGCUGGGAAAUCGGCACAGUGGGAGCAAGAGGACAGGGAGUUAGCCGUUGCAGGCAUUGCUAAUCCUUGGUACCAAUUUCCUGGCCGCUCUAGGAAUUUCAUGCGUGCACGUGGUAGAUUGGUUAUAUCAGAAGGUGAAGCUGUGAUUGUUUGGGAGACUAAGGAAGCUGAAAAUCUCUCUCAGGAAAUUGUAAAGAAGCAAGCUGAAAUUGAGUCUUCAGGGGCCAUUUUGGUCAGGGAUAAAGAUGUGCUCACACAGACCUUGGGACAACCAGAACAGACAGGGCGCAUCCGUGGUAUGUCUAGUUCGUUUGGUUGGUAGUUUUGGCCGCUUUGCACCGACAUGUACAGAAAGAGGAAGCGUUCAAAUGAUGUCAAUGUGGAAGCCAUUAAAGAAGAAAUGGCACUUGAAAUUAUCGAGAAGGUCACCGAGAAGAUUACUGAGAAGGUCACAAAUGAUAUCAUGGCCAGGCUACGUGCACAAGGAGUGCAUUUGAGCUUGCUUUCCAACACCCCUUCCUCUGCAGGUGGUAACAACAGCAGCAGCUUUGCCUCAGCCUCAGAUGCAGUUUGCGAUGUACAGUUGGACAGAAUUGGUGGAAUUUUAGGACAACAAGUUUGGCAGUCAUCUUGUACACUAGUACUCAUCAACCAUGAAGGUUAUCAGGUGGAGGUAGCAACGGGUCGUGUAUUUCCAAACAAUUUUCUGCUAGAUUCAGUUCCAGUAGCGAAGGGAUAUGUCAUUGUACAUAUUGAUUCUGUAGAAUCGGAAUAUGAGGGUCAUGUGCUGCUUCCGCACCCAAGCAAUGAGAUAAGAACUCUUGGAGACGCUCUGUACAAAAGGAUUCAGUGGAAGAGGGAAUGGGUUGUGGUACAUCGUGCGUUCUCUUCCAUGUCUCCUCCAUCACCUGGGUCAGUCAAAAGCAGAAAGGUCUUUGUGGAACCCAACGUUUCACCCUCACUAUAUGAAGCGAAUGACUCUAAUGUACGGAACUGUGCUUCCAUGGCGCAUAUGGUAGGCAAAAAACAAAAGAAACUCAGAAACACCAAGCCUCCAACUGCACCUUGGCUUUCCCCUAGUUCAGAACAACAAGUUAUGGAUUCAGCCUGUACACUGGUAAUCAUCAACUGUGGAGGUUAUCAGGUCGAGGUAGCAACGGGUACGGUAUAUCCAAACAAUACUGAGCUAUAUAGGGUUCCAGUAGAGGAGGGUUAUGUCAUUGUACAUAUUGAUUUUGUAUGUCCAAAAUAUGAAGGCCAUGUGCUGCUUCUGUGGCAAAGCAAGGAGAUAAGAACUCUUGGAGACGCUUUGUACAAAAGGAUCAAGUGGAAGAGAGAAUGGGUUGUGGUAACACCGCGGUCCUCUUCUAUCUUAGCUAAACUUCCAACACCUGGGUCAGCUAAAAGCAAUCUAAAUGUCCUUUUGGAACCCAAAGUGUCACCCUCAUUGAAUGGGAAAGCGAAUGACACUACUAUACAAAAUUGUGCUUCCUUGGCACAUGUGGUAGGCAACAAAGAAAAUAAGCUCAUAAACACAAAGCCUCCAAUUGCACCUUGCCGACCCCCUAAAGUAGGCAAGGGUGUUGAGAAUGUGGUUGACAAGCUAAAGCAGCAGGGGCGACCCAGUGGUGACACCAAACUGGUUCAGAAGGUGGUUCACAAGCAGAAGCAGCAUGGAGGUCAGGAGGUGGUUGAGAAGCAGCAGGUGGCACAACAUACCAAAUCGUCUAAACUCGCUCAUGUUUGGUUUCAGUCGAACCCUGACUUCCUAUUUGGACAACCAAUGGUACCAGAAACAGAACUUGAUGGGCCUAGAUGUGUUGCUCUUCAUGCUCACUACAUGAACGCAUGUGCACAGAACAGGAGGUCCCCGUUUUUUGCUAUGGUCAGGAGCGAGCAUUUUUUGCUUGAAACAAAAACUAUGGAAUUCCCUGUGGGAUUUGAAGAUAUUUUUGACCUCUUCACACUAGAUGCAUUGGAAAUGUCCAUUCUUCGUUGCGUGACGUUGUAAGUACAAUUUCUUAUAUUUCAGACUUGUCCAUUUCUAGCUAGGGAUGUUCUUCAUAUAUUUCCUUGCUAAAUUGCUUUUCUAUCCUUCUUCAUUCCUAGAUGCCUGAUUGUAGAAGCUAGGGACACUUCGGUUCCAGUUGGGCUUCUUGAUCCAUAUGCAUUGUCGGUAGAAAACUUGACUAGGUCUAGAGAUUUUAGUGUGCAAUAUCUGGAAAAAGGUCUAAGGAAACAUGCCAAGAAAGAGUAUGUGAUGUUUCCGUAUAACACUGGUGAUCAUUGGAUUGCUGUUAUCAUCAUUCCCAAGUGGCUGAAGGUGCUGUACAUAGACUCCAAUAAAGGCCGCAAGACAGACUUGAGUGGGUUGAAAUCUGUGAUAGAUGAGUGAGUGUUUUGUAUCUUGCUACUAUUGACACGUGCUUUUCUAAAUUAUGUUAUUCAUUCAUAGUAAAAAAUUGUGGCAACUAAAUUCUGUGUAGGGCUUUUCGCAAUUGCCAAACCAAAGCAAGGAAGAAGCCCAAAAUUGUGAAGUUGACCCAUGUGCCCAAAACUCCAGUAAGUAUAGUUGCUUCACUUCCAAUUCCUAAUGUGAUUUCAAUACCACUAUGAACCGUGCGUAUGUGAUCUGUUCGUAGUGCCUGCAGCAACCUCUAGACAACACAUGUGGGUUCUGUGCGUCCUACAGCAUGAUUCUUGCGAUGCGACAGACCAAAUUGGAUGAUCCUAAGGUACUUAUGGCCAGUGUUUUUGCUGUUGGCAGCUAGCGUUGAUUGGCCCUUUUUUCCGUACAAGUUUUAGUUUUUUUGUUUUGUUGGUAGCUAGGAUUAGUAAAUGUGAGGGGCAACAUUAGUUCUCAUUAUCCAUGUCUAUGUUUCUGUUCUCAUAGUACAAUACCCUUGUCAAACUUAAUUCUUUUUAAAAGUCAAGCAAUCAUUUGCCUAAACAUUAGCAAUCUGAUUUGAAAAAACAAAGAUCUAACCUAUAUGUGUGAGCGUACAUGAAGCAAAAGAUGACGGGUGCAAUAAACAUUCUGGAACCCUAUCCCUUCAUCUCCUCUUCGAUAUAAAUGAAAAUAAUAUAGUGUAUUUGUUGCAUUACAUUACAUUUCUGUCAACGGUGGUGCAGUUCCUGCAGCUUAUCUACCACUAUAUAUAGGAGUUUCCCCCUCCAACCUGCUAUCUUUUUCAGAAUCGUAUCUACUAAAGGCUGAAUGUCCUCUCUGGUAAAGUGAUCAUAAUGGAGAGGGACACCCAAAUACUUAAUAGGAAAAUCACCUAAAGGACAAGAGAAAAUGUGAGAAAAACUAUGUGUUUCUUCUAUAUCUAAGUUGAGAGGUACUAUUUCACUUUUAUUGAAAUUAAUCCUCAUACUAGAGAUCUCCUCAUACCACAUCAAAACACAUUUUAGAUUUCUUAAAACAGAUUCCUCUGCUUUCGAAAACAAAAUUGUAUCAUCUGCAUAUUGUAGUGAUAUAAUCCCCCUGGUCUAAAGUCCUCUAAAAGACCUUUGAUGAAGCCUCUAUUAGAAGCCUUACUUAGCAAUUUGGAUAAGCCAUCACCAACUUAAUUAAAAAGAAAAGGAGACAAAUGAUCUUCUCAACCCUUUACCAGCUUUGAAGUAAGCACUAUACUCACCGUUGAGCAUGAUCUAGAACCUAACUACUUGUUUAACCCAACUAAUGAGCAUGGGGUUGAAAUUCCUAGCUCGUAGCAUCUCAAAGAGAAAAGUCCAGCUACCUUGGUCAUACGCUUUUUCAUAAUCUAAGUUGAGAAUGACCCCUUUUUUGUCCCAUUGUAUGAAUGAUCUGAACAAUUUCAUGAGCUAUCACCACACUUUGUAAAAUAUACCGACCUUUAAUGAACGCGGAUUGGUUUGGAGCUAUAAUUUUCUGCACAAUGGUACUGAAUCUACUAGUAAGAAUCUUGGAAAAAAUCAUAAAGCUACAAUUGAGCAAUCUAAUAGGUAUAAAUUGCUUCAUAUUUGAAGCAUCUCCUACUUUUGGGAUCAAGGUGACAAGAGCACAAUUUAAUCUAAACAAGUCAAGUUUACCUUUUUGGAAAUCAUCAAACAAAUGUACUAGAUCGUUUAACUAAAUUCCAAAACUUUUGGUAAAAAAGGAAAGGGAGUCCAUCAGGACCUGGAGCCCCUUCAGCAUAAUGCUUCUUUAUUUCUGCUUCCAGAAAAGGAGCUAACAAACUCUCAUUCUCCUCAGAAGGAACCAUAUCUUGGGGCUCCCCUAAAAAUUCUCAUCUAGCUUAACAAAGGAAUUGUUUUCCUUAGCAAACAACAUUUUAUAAAAAUCUACAGCUAUUUGCAUCAUUCCUUUUUGAUCAUAAACUAAACCAUUCGGACCUUGUAAACAUUUAACAUUUUUUUCUCCUACGUCUAUAAUUUGCUAUAGCCUGAAAGUAAGCUGUUUCUGUCACCCUCUAGUAGGGAUCUAUAUUCUAGAUCUCUGUCUAGCUUUAAUUUCCUCUAUGGCCUAGAUAUGUGAUAACUAUUCUUCUAUAUCUCUAUAUUCUAUCAUCUCUAUUGGUUCCAGACUUCUAGUCUCCAUAUAUAAUAUCCUCUAACUUCCUAAACUUCUCAGUAAGAGAGGCUUUAUUUCUAUUUAGGGUAGCUACCUCAUCCCAUCCUCUCACCAUUCUCCUGAGAGUUCUAACCUUGAACUGUGAUGCAACUACAAGUAGUUUGCCAAGCUUUUUGAUCUUUAUCUUGAAAUGAUUCUUAACUAUAUAUAUAUAUAUAUAUAGAGAGAGAGACAGGUUGGAGGAAGAAAUUUGUAUAUUCAGAUAGAUUGACAGGAUGGGAUAAACAAGAUAAUCAACUGACCUUAUAUUGUAUGGCAAGCACACACACACACACAUAUAUAUAUAUAUAUAGUACGUAGUCUAUAGCAGCAGAUGAUGUGCUCUUUGGCAUAACUGGAACUGGAAAUAUCAGAAAUAAAUAGUCAUAGAAACAAUAUAGCAAAAUGGCAUUUAUCAUGUGAGUCGAGUAUCCAUACAUCAGUUCAAAGUAAUAUAUUACACAUGUUGUGAAAAUCAGGAUUUUAGUUGUUUAUAAACCAACAUUGAUUGAAAGCUAGCAUCGAUCGUUGAAAGAAUAGGAAAGACAUAAGUUUUGGUUUGAAAGGGAAAUUAGGAUACUAGAAUUGAUAAUACCUCUGUUUUUUGGAUUAAUUAUAACAUUUCACUCUGAAUCAUUUCAAUUAUGAUUGCCGGUUAAUAUAAACUCUUAUACCUUUUCGAAUUAGCAUGGCAUAUAUAUUCAAUUUAUAUGGAUAUGUUUGACAUGUGAAAUGUUUGACAUAUCUAUAUUUUAAUAGUAAGCAUGGUCCUUGAGCUUUAAUUCUUCCUUACGAUCCGUUGUUUUACAGGACUUUGAUUUUAUGUCCACUCCAAUCAAUCAGAAUGAUAUUAGGGAGAGGAUCACCCUGUUCAUUGUGGAACAGAUCAUUGAUGAAAAUGGCGAGUUUCAUUGUAGUGUGAUCUUCCAAAAAAUAGGCGAUGAAGCUUAGAUGGAGAUAAAUAACACUCAUGAUGUGUUGGCACUUUGUAGUUGAGCACUUUAAGAUCGAGGCCAACAAGUGUGUUGGCCGUUAGUGCUGGUCAAUUAAUUUAAUUUGAACUAGCAUUUUGUGUGGAUCCUCUGUAACGUUACGUGAAUACUAAGUGAACAUGUUUGCGUUGUGUUUUAUCUGUUGUGUUUCAGUGCGUUAUUAUAAGAACUGCUGCUAUGGGUAAUUUCUGCCAUGUAGAAACAGCAUCUAAGCAUAGGCUAUCAUAUAUAUCUGCUUCUGCAGUACAACGUAAACCACAGACACUUGUCCCUGUUAUCACAGACGCGUGUUCUUUUCUUCACAGACGUGUAUUCGUCUUAGUAGAGACACUUGUUUACAUGGCGCGUCUAUGAAGAGCGCUAUUACAGACGCGCAAAGCGCGUCUGUAAUAGCGCUCUUCACAGACGCGUUACUUGAGACACGCGCGAACGCGUCUGUGAUGCAUGCCAACACGCGUCUGUAAACUUGUCUUUUGUCAUAGUGCAGGUGGCGUUCCUCCUAGGCUUACGCAGGAGGGGGCCUCCGGGUGGGGUAGCGACCCUCCGUCUGCCUAGCAGAUCGGAUCCGGGUGGAUGACAGCAGCGCGCCGCAGGUUGGACCGUCCUCGUGGCCUUUGUGGCCAGCUGGGAGCUCUUCACACCACGGUGGCGGCGGGUCGCAGGACGCGUGACUGACUAUGUGGUUCGUCUACUUUACAUGUUGGAUGCUCGAUUAGUACGAUUUGUUGGAUGAUGGACUUGUUGGACUCAUUUAUUAUGGUUUAUGUGUGCUAUAUAUGUGUAUUUGUGUGAUAUAUAUGUGGAUCUGUGUGAUCUAUGUGAAUUUCAGUAUAUAAUCAUAUUUGUGACGCAAAAUAAAAAAUAGGCCAAAAUUUUUUACUUAUUCCAGCUUUGCCACCUGCCACGUGGAAAGCAGGUGGCAAAGCUGGAAUCUCAUGAACAAUGAUAGCUUUGCCACCUGCCAAUAAAGACAGUCGGCAAAGAGCCCUUUGCCACCUGCCAAUAAAGGCAGUCGGCAAAGAGUCCUUUGCCACCUGCCAAUACAAAGGCAGUCGGCAAAGAAUUUCUGUUUUUAAAAAAAUUAAAAGAGCCUUUGCCACCUGCCAAUAAAGGCAGUCGGCAAAGAAAUUCUAUUAUAAAAAAAUAAGAAAAGCCUUUGCCGACUACCGCGUGACAGUCGGCAAACGGGAUGUCGCUCCGUCAUCUCACAACGGCGUACGUUCCCUUCGCCGACUGCCAUACUGGUAGGUGGCAAAGGCUUUGCCGACUGCUUUGCUCUUGGCAGGUGGCAAAGAUUUCUUUGCCGACGAAUUCUUUGCCACGUGUUCUUUGCCGACUACCACGUAUAAAGCAGUCGACAAAGCCUUUGCCACCUGUUUUAGGGCCUUUGCCGACUGCUCAAAGAAAGGAAUUCCAGUAGUGUGUGCGUGCGUUGUGAGUGUCUGCGUUAUACUGUGUAAUUCUAAAAAAAUAUGAUCAAGAUUUUGUUGUGUUUGGAGACUAACUUUAGCAUGAGUGUGGUGUUGUGCAAUAUGUCUCUUGGCUUGUGGUGUGCAUGUGUGGAGCACUGAGACGGUCGAUGGCAAUGGAGAAGGUCAAGAGAGUUCAUGCCGAUGAUAUGGAAGCGGUGAAGGACAGAAGUGGAGGGUAGAGGCCUAAGGGAUCGAGGACCAAUGCACUGAUUGUGGAUGGCUGACUUGGAGACAUCGACGAACAAGGUUACAUGUGGAGGUGUGGAUCAUGUUGACCAAGUCAAGCAGAGGCGUGAAGGACUUGGUCAUCAGACGGUCGAGUACAUGGUGGUUACAUGCGUCGAGAUCAUGGAGGGAGUGUAGCGGAUACGCUACUCCAACUGGGUUUGUUGGUUUCGUCCACAAAACUGCAGCCGGAGAGUUUACCGGAUUUGGGCCUCAGAAACCAAGACGAGAGUUUGGAGUGGCAUGUGACAUCAUCAGGCAAUUAGCGUCGAGGCAGAGCUAUCUCAUAAAGAGCUUGUGGAUGUCGGAUGCAUGGAUCUCUACUUAGACCAUUUUGCCCCUAGCAUCAAGUGAUUGUCAGAAAUAUGGGCCAGGGGUACUUGCAUGCACCACCCGUAUAUACGACCAUGUCCAGCUAUCGGGUUAGAAGUUAAGGAAGAGGCCCACGAGGGUCCAGGUGGUUGACCAACGUGAAGAUCAAGGCACGUCAAGAAUAUUCUAGAUAGGCAUAUCUAGACGAUAGCAUAGAAUAAAUCUGUAGCACAUGCUAUAUAUGUAACAAACUGGGAAUCCAAUUUGUUAAGCCCAUUGCCCUCAUUAUAACCCUACCCCUCUACAUAUAUAUAUAAAGGAGGGUAGGUACGUCAUCUCAUUCUAAUCUAUUAUGUAGCUAGGAACAACAACCCCUGUAACCGAGCAUAGGAAUACAAGAAGACUAGAAGCAGCACUGGACUAAGCUUUUAUGCACACCAUGGCCUGAGGUUUUUACCUGUAUGCUAUUACGAAAGAUUGAUCAAACCAGGAAGCCACUAAAAAGUUGAUUCGCACCGUUGUGCCCAACUUCAUCUUCGGCUAUACCCGUGUGCCAUUCCGUCCAUUUUUAAGCCUAACGGCAGUUAAGUGGCCUGACAAUAGACUUGAAUACCCCUGAACUAUUUGGUCUCGACAAAAAAAAAAAAUUCUUGUCCCCAAUGGCACUGGCUACCUUCCUUCCUUCUUCUUCGCAUUCUCGCGGCUUAGUCACCGAGCCCGUCGCUGCAGGUGGUGGAGCUGGAGGAGCAGCUCCGGACGAUGACGGCGCAGCGGCGCAAGGCGGAGCGGGCGGCCGCGGAGGUGCUCGCCUAGGGCUUCGGCCCCCUGUCCUUCUCCGACGCCGGGAACGACUCAGGCUCAGAGGACGAGGUCGGCACGGGCGACUGCGACCCCGAUGCCGCCGAGAGGGACGGGGGCGGCGGGAAUGCGGGACUGGGACGCCGCGAGCCAGCGCGGGAGUACCUCGCCGUGGCCGCCUGCCUCGCGGGCGCGCCGGGCCCGCGCGCCGAUGCCGCGCUGCAGGCCACCAUGGCACGGCUCAAGGACGAGUUCGGGGGCUGCGCCGAGUUCAUCCUCCCCGACGGCAGGGGCCUCUCCCUGCCGGGGCUGCUCCGCACCUACGACGACGGCGCCGGAGACGUCGUCCGUGACUUCCUCGCGCUCUGCUGUCGGUCAGCUCCCGCGCCGCUCGAGCUCGUCCGUAUCGGGAUCCCCCACGGCGGCUCCGGCAGCAGCCGCGACCGCGAGUAGAAUCAGCGCCGCCGCGCGGAUCCCCGGGGCCCACCGCCCCCGCCCCCUGCCCCAUCCCGCACACACGACCGCCGCACCAAGCGCGAGCGCGGAGAAGAUGAGCGAGCCCAUGGACGUGAGGAAGACGACGAACGCGGACGCGGCGACAAGGCCACCGUGUACGUGCACGCGUGCUGCGCCAGCGCCGCGGCGGCGGCAUCGUCGGGCUCGGACGCCUCGCCGCCGCCGCCGUAGCUGCUUCCCGCGGGAGCGGAUGGGACGAGGCAGGGAGGUAGAGGUGGAGGACGGCGAGCGCCAGCACGGCGACGCGCUGCGUUGGUACGCUGCGGGAGGCCAUGGGCAGUUGACCGAAUUGCGAGCGAGGCCGGACUGGGCAAGCGGAGAGGGAGAGGCGGAGAGAGAUGGUGGUUGGUUGCUCUUGCUCCAGAUUUUCAACUCUCCAAGUGGGCAGCAAGCAGCAGCUCAAGCCUCAAGGUGAGCAGCGUGGAGAUGCCAUGUCACCUGAUCUGAUGCUUUUUUCCCCCUUUUGGAUGGAAAAACACAUCUGAAACUGGCGUACUGCCACUGAUGACUAUGAAGAAAACAACUCUGAAACUCGUGGAUCAUGGAGAACCACUUGAGCAAAUUGGCGCGAGUGAAAACAGGGCAGAGCGACUGGAAGGGCAAUAAGGACAUUGUGUUAUCCGGGACCCACAUGUCAGACCCUGUAAACGGAAGAAAAUGAACGGAAUGAGGACGGAAUGGCACACGGGUAUAGCCGAAGAUGAAGUUGGACAUAGCGGUGCGAAACAACUUUUUAGUGGCUUCUUGGUUUGGUCGAUUUUUCAUAAUGGCAUACAGGUAAAAGUCUCCCGGUAUGUAUCCUGAUAUAUCAUGUGGUACCAUCUGAUUCCAUCUAUGCGAUCAUGUUGCUCGGCAUUGCCGGAGCUAAACCAUCUAAUAAUGAUUCAACAAAAAUAUCUCAGGGCAGUUUUUGAAUGUGUAAUAGCCUCUAUAAAUAAGAGCAGAGGCUGUCCAAACUAGCCAUCUCUUCCGGUGCUUUCGUUUGAUUCUCUAGGUGCUAGGCUAGUAGUGUUUCCUAUAGUCUGUGCUGUGAGAGAGAUUCGUAGAUGAGGGAUUGAGUCCUCUGUUUGUGUUACAUUGUAAGACCGGGUAUUGUUCAUGUUGAUCUUGUGGAAAUAAAGAAGUUGUCCUAAAAAAUCAAAGUCCCAAGAUCUCUUGCAUUGAAUCGUUUUGGUUUUUACACUUCUUGAACCCCUCUCUAUGCUCCUUGGUGGUUUCUUUGAAUCUCAGCUGCUGAGUUCAUUUUGGCUAGAUCUAUAUGUAUUGAGACCCUCAGGAACAUGUCUACCACUAUGGGACAUUGAUGCUUUGUCGAGUGUAUGUGGCACUCGGUAAUAAAGGCCCAAAUAGCCGAGUGCCACACUGGGCAAUGGCCAUAUGGUGAAUUUUUGGUCGGCAAAAGGGGUCUUUGCCGAGUGUUAUUUUUGGGACAUUCGACAAAGCUAUAAAAGAAAAAACUCAAAAAAAUAGGAAUCUUAGGCCCCUAACCUGGUCUUUGUCAAAGUCCCAAGUCAUGAUAUUUUUCGUGCAGAAUUCAAGGCUACGCUGCGAGUGGGAUUUGGCAGAGGCCCAAAUACACUCAGUAAAGCCUUUGCCAAAUGCCACACUGGGCAAAGGCCACAUGGUGAAUUUUUGAUCGGCAAAGGGGUCUUUGCCGAGUGUUAUUUUUGGGACACUGGGCAAAGAUAUAAACAAAAAAACUCGAAAAAAUAGGAUUUUUUUGCAGGGGAGGCCCCCAACCUGGUCUCCGUCGAAGUCCCAAGUCAUGGUAUUUUUCAUGCAGAAUUCAAGAUCUCCCUCUCCCGCAUCUCCCUCUCUAACCACUACAUCACACUGUCACUUAUGUUUAUAUAGCAUUUCGGUUCCUCAUAUACUACCAAAUUACAUGUAAAUUGAAUGUUCGAAGCCCUAAAUGAUUUCAAAAUAAAAGGUUGUCAAUUAUAAAGUUUAAUUUAGGGAGUUUCUCCAUCGAGGUCUUCUGAAUUUCAGAUUUGAGAAAUUCAAAUGUAGUUUUUGCAUGACAAGAUGAUUUCAAAUCAAAAAGUUAUCAACUACAAAGUUUCAUAGCUUUUUGAGAUCUACAAAGUUUAUUUAGGGAGUUUUCUUAUUCGAGGUCCUUUGAAAAAUUUAAAAUUAAAACUUUUAAAUAAAGACACAGUUUCGCAUGAAAAGAUGAACUCAAAUAAAAAAUAUGCAAAAUAAAAAAUUCUAUAACUUCUCAAGAUCUACAAAGUUUGUUUGGUUGUUUGAUCAUUUGUUCAUUCAACUUGGUGAUUCUAACAUUUUUUACUAGUCCUAUAUAUAUCUCUUGUAGUUUCAUAAACUAUAAGAGAGAGAAAAUUUGUGACAAAUUUAUUUUUAGUUUGUCAAAUGAAGAAAUAACCAAAAUAAAGGCUAUAGAUCUUGAGAAGUUAUACAACUUUGUUGUUGAAACCUUUUUGAUUUGAAUUCGUUUAGGGCUUCAAAUUUGAUUUGAAAUUUUCUUUGUCGAAUGUUUUUUUUUGACACUUGGCAAAGAUCGAGUGUAAAAAAAACACUUGGCAAAGAGGCUUCUUUGCCGAGUGUCAAAAUAAAACACUUGGCAAACCAUUUGACAUUCGGCGAAGAGCCAAAUUCUGGUAGUGUACCAACCAAAUUUGAGGAUUUUUUACGAAAUUUGAGAAAACCCCAAUCAAGGAGAGAGAUUUUUCUUCUGCAUUGAUCCUCUGGCUUUUGGAGUUGAUCUUUUGUGGAUAGUUCAUAAACAUCCUUAGGAACAUCUCCACAAAAUUUGAGCUCAAUCGGAUUUAAUUUGAAUAGUUUUCACCUUUUUGGAGUUUGGGUUUGGGCUGCUAGACUACCAAAGUGGACCAGGCCGACCUAGCUAGCUUCCAGGCUUGGCCGGGUUUGCAUCAUGGCUAGGCCAGGUUUGCCUGGGAAGAGGACCCCUCCGCAGUGAUUUUUAGUUCAGGUGUCGGUUCUUCGAUCCGUUUCUUCCAUGAGGUUUUCGAGGUGUCAUGGAAUGUUCUGAAAUCAUCAAGUCACCGGUUGGCUUGUUUGAAUUCACCUUGAGCACUUGCUUCGGUUCAGUGGUGCUUGAGAGCUUUGCGUUUGCGUUUUAGUGUACACUUCAGUUCUUGUUUGUUCGCUUUGGUGUGUGUCCAUUAUAUUCUCUAGUUAUCCUGUAGGGCAUAUAGUUACCUGUUGACUAAAGGGCAUCUCCGUUGUUGGUUUUGGUGAGGGUUGUUUUGGGACAUACGACCAUUUCGGAAGAAAUUUUAAUCAGCUCCAGUUCACCCCCUCUGGCAGCCUUUCUCAGUGCUUCAGACUUUCAGAGAGAAAUUAAGGAGGCCCAGUAAAGAAAUUUUGGCAUGACUUACGUAAGUGGUGACGCUGGGUAAAAAUAUUUUUACUUAUGUUUCAAGACUUGUGUGGUUUUCGGGUAAGAAAAGAUGUGGAAGUUUGAAACUUAAGAAAAAAAAGCACCCAGCUUUAUCACAAAAAGAAAAGCACACUCUGCUUAGUUAGCUAGAGGGACAAAAACUACAUGGAAUUUUCAUGGAAAACAUGGUCAUAAAGCCGUCGACAUACCUGAUAGCUCACAAGAGAAAUGACUCGGCCCUUGCUGAUGUCUGUCUAUAAAACUGUACGAGGAGACUGCAUUGCUGAACUGAAUCGGCAGUAGUAUAUACCAGACGAUUAAGCAAGCUAAUUAAGCGUUCCCGGACAACCAUCCCUUUGGUAGAGGAAAUGGCCGGCAGCAGCGAGGAAAAGGUGGCGCUGGUGGUGCAGAACAAGAAGGUGGUGCUGAGGAGCCAUGUCACCGGAUUCCCCAACGAAGACGACAUGGAGAUCAUGGUGGACACUACCAAGCUGUGCGUGCCGGCGGGGAUGACCGCUGUGCUGAUCAAGAACCUCUACCUGUCCUGCGACCCAUGGAUGCGCUUCCGCAUGAGUAAACACGAGGAUGGUGGCCUGCCUCCGGCGUUUGUCAUUGGCGAGGUAGGAAAAAUCAUAAUCUUUCCAACAAAAACUUGUAUGGGACAUGACAUGGAGAAAUUUUUCUGAUAUUGAUCUGUCAGGCUUUGGUCAAUUUCACUGUGGGCAAAGUGGUGGACUCAACGCACCCGGAGUUCAACGCCGGCGACCUCGUUUGGGGGAUGAGUGCAUGGGAGGAGUACACCCUCGUCACCCAGCCGGAGUCCCUGCACAAGAUCAACCACACUGAACUGCCGCUCUCCUACUACACGGGCGUUCUUGGUCAGCGCUAUCAUCAUGCACUAAUCUAUCUUGCAGUACUUUCCAUGCAUGUUAGCUAACCCAUUGUUAACUAUACCAUCCAGGCAUGCCUGGGCUCACUGCAUACGCCUGCUUUUUCGAGGUCGGCAAGCCGAAGAAGGGCGAUUUCGUGUUCGUCUCAGCGGCGUCAGGAGCCGUUGGGCAACUCGUCGGGCAGCUGGCAAAGAUCGCCGGCUGCUACGUGGUCGGCAGCGCUGGCUCCGACGAGAAGGUCAGUCUACUGAAGGCCAAGUUCGGCUACGACGACGCCUUCAACUACAAGAUGGAGACGGACCUCGGCGCCGCGCUGAAGCGGUGCCUUCCCGGCGGCAUCGACAUCUACUUCGACAACGUCGGCGGCGCGACUCUGGACGCCGCGCUGUUGCAGAUGCGCCCCGGCGGCAGGGUCGCCGUCUGCGGCAUGAUCUCGCAGUACAAUUUGGUGGAGCCGUACGGCCUGCGCAACCUGUUCUGCAUCAUGCCGAAGGCCAUCAGGGUGGAGGGGUUCUACUUUACAUUCUACAUGCAUGUGUACGCAAGGUUCGAGGAGGAGAUGGCUGGGUACAUCAAGGAUGGGAAGGUCACCGUCGUCGAGGACGUCGUCGAGGGCAUUGACAGCGCACCGGCCGCUCUAAUCGGGUUGUUCUCGGGCAAGAAUGUAGGGAAGCAGUUGGUUGCCAUUGCAAGGGCAUGAGUUGAAGCAUGAACUCCGUAGUGGUGACGAGCUGAGAAAAUUAACAAGUGUUGUGCUACUUGUGUGAUGCCUCUCAUACCGGUUCCUGUGUUUAAAUGAGAGGGCACUGUUAUUGUAUUGGAAUAAAAAAAGCAUAUUUAUAAUUUGCUUUUCAUCAAUGCAUUCUUACUAAAAUGAAUGCUAAUGCGCUUUUAUUUGCAGAUUUCGAUAUGAUAAACUAGGUGAUGUCCUCGUGCGUUGUUGUAAGAUCUAAAAUGUUGUUUAAGAUUAAUUAUCUAUAUCUUGUACUAAAACUUGAGGACUAGUUGAAAAAUGACACCUACACGAUCUCUACUAUAGUGAAACCGUUAAAUUAUACUUUCUUUUUUGAACAAGCAGGGGCUUACGCCCUUACUGAAAUUUAUUAAAAGAACCAAAAGGAGAGGAUCCAAACAAGAGAGAGUAACAGGGAGUACAAGAGAAAUGGAAGGAUUCACGAGACAAAAAAAAGAAACAAAGAAAAUAAACAAGAUUACACAAACUGCUCUAGCCAUAAACUAAUAUGGGGCAGGUAUCUCUUCUUUGCGCGAAGCACAACUAAGCCUUUGACAUUUUUGAAGAUAUGCUUGCAGUGCUGCACACUCGCCUCCUGACCUCUGAAGAUCAAGUUGUUUCUCAUUGACCAAAUGCUCUAGCACAUAAGAACAACAAUAAUUUCCAUGAAGAAGGGCAUAUUGAGUUGCCUUCUGAAAUCCUCCAAAACUUGAAACGGCCCUUGAGAUUGGGGAACUACCAGUCCAAAUCAAAUUCCAAUAUUCCUUUGCAUGUCAUAAUGCAAAAAUAAAUGACCAAAUGUUUCCUUAACCAAGUUUUCACAUUGGACACAAUUGUAAGACUGCAGAAACAUGUUUUUUCUUCUCAGGAUUUUCCUAGUACUAAGCCUGUCCUAUGCCAAAAGCCAUAAAAAGACCUUGUGUUUGUGUUGGCAGGCUGAUUUCCAAAUCCAAAUGAAAAUUGGGUGCACCGGCACUGAACCUGAGAGUUGUUUGUAGGCCUUCGCACAUGAGAAGGCUUGGCUGCCCUAGAUCUAGGACCAGGUGUCGUUGACUGUAGUGGGAUUAAAGUUAUUCGAUGUAUCCUCCAACUGAAUCAAUUGUUGAUAGGCUUAGCAAGUGAAAGCUUUCAAUUAAAGGCUCACUAGCUUUGGCUGCUGCAACUGUCCAAAUUGGUUUCUUAGUGAAGGAGUAUAACUCAGAAAAUGCAAUUUUUGGAACCUGUCCCAGCCACAGGUCCUCCCAGAGAAGGCAUGACUCACCAUAUUGAAUGGAAAUCGUGGCCAUGCCCUUGAACUUGUCCAAGAGUUUAAGGACAUCUUUCCAACAAAAAGAACCCUUCCUUGUAUGAUUAGGCAGCUUGCCAUUACUGUAGUACUUUUCCCAGAUCAGGUGUACCCAAGGGAGAUAGCUUAUUGAAGAAUUUGUGCAAAUUCUUAAUAAGCAAAGCCUCAUUCUGAGUUUGCAGAUCAAGAACUCCUAACCCUUCCUUAGAUUUUGGCCUCAUUCCGCAAGGUUGAAGCUGAUUGACUUCUGCCCCCUAUGGCAGGUGGGCCCCACCUUUUAGGUGGUGUCUUCCGGAGUCUUCUAGAGUAUUCAGGAGUUGACGUUCAGGUCUUCUCUCUAUAUAAAUCUUACAUGUGGACCUCCUUUUGUUAUUAUUCUAGUAACCUCCUGCAGAAACAGAUAUUCACCAAAACUGGUAGAAAUUGUUAGUAAAAACUCUAAGUCUAUGGUGAUGUUUAGUUUUUAUCCCCUUUCUUCUCCUUAGUUGACAUAUAAUUUUGAUGGUUAACAACCGUCAACAGUAUACCACUCGGUGACAUAUAUACUCUCAUUUGACAGAGCCGUGAGGGAGUAACGUCUAUACUCUAAUGGAUGGCGAGGGGUACGAGAAGCCAGCGCUCCAGCAAUAAAUUUGCACGGGUAGCGAGUAGCUGUGGGGGUAUAAACCCCUAUACCCUUACGGUCAGACUUGGGCCAGGAGGCUUGGCCUAUUAUGAGACAAGUUCGAAGUUUGAUCCGACUCCUCAGAGUUUCGCGCAAGGAAACAAGACGUGGAGAUCAAGCAGGAUUCUAGUCGGUUAGAAUAGGAAUUGAUAUCGAACUAUUUAUGGCAAUUGUAACCGACUAGGAUUAGUUUCUAGAUUUGUAACCCUGCCCUCCGGACUAUAUAAGGAGGGGCAAGGGACCCCCUAGGACACAUUAUUCUCUCAAGUCAAUCCAAUACAAUCAGACGCAGGACGUAGAUAUUACGCCCACACGGCGGCCGAACCUGAAUAAAAACUUUAUUUGUGUCUUGCGUCACCAUCAAGUUCGUAGCUUGCGCACCGUCUACCGAUAAACUACUACUGUGGGUAUACCCCAAGGUAGACUGCCGACUAGCUUUCGUCGACAGUGGCGCGCCAGGUAGGGGGUGUGCGUACAGCUCUCGACGAACAAGAUGGCCAUCAUCUCCGACUUCGCGGCCAUGGCGGGCGACUUCACGUUCACCGUCAGCUUCAAUAGCUUCACCGCCACGACCACGGAGGAGGCGCAGAUCCGAUCUGCGCCAAUCACUUCUUCAUCGACGUCGGUCGCGACUCCAACCACGCUGGCUACGACUCCGACUACUCCAGCAACGUUUCCGACCACGCCGACAACGCGUCAUCCGCUUUCCUGCUACAAAGGGAGACAGAUCGACAACACCGACCUGCUCGUACCAUCGACCAAAUUGUUUGGCCUACUUGCUCUGACAACCAGUCGCAAUAAUAAUCGCCGCGAAGAAUGACGCUAUGACAACAGCGACCACCGUCAUGACAAGUCGAAAAGCUCGAGGGCCGAACAAUUUUGUCGUCACCGACUAGACUUUCUUUCAAAGAUAAGUACACUUCUAAUAUUUUAUUUAUUUUUGGCAUAAUAUUUUUAAUAUUAUUAUCCUUCAAAACAACUUUUUGGUUAGCCGACUAGUUUUUUCUCCUACACGAGCUUUCCAGAGCCGGUACUGUCUCCGACUCCUCCCUACACGUGCACGAGAUCUGCCCUCUGCGUUCCGGGUGGUCGGCAGUAGCUCUCUGACGUGGCUGACAAUCCUACGCGUACCUAAGUUCCGCACCUCAUGCUGAUUGUUGGCUAGACCAGAGCUGGUACAAGCUCUAGGAUGAAUUAACUACUCGUGCUAAUUUUAUAAUAAAAAAUCUAAAACUUAUCUUAGUGCUGAUUUUUUGUCUAGAGUUUAUUUAUACAUCAUGUACUACCUAUUUUCUCUAUAUUUAUUUUUCAGGAGUUUGGCCCAGUCGACAAGCUACGCUCGGGGACUCGUCGACUAUUCCCUACGCUGUGCCCAGGGACUGCUCCGACCACCGAGCACGUUUACGUUCCCAACCACGCUCGGGGACUUGUCGACUACUCUCUACGCUAUGCCCGAAGACUGUGCCGACCACCGAGCACGUUUAUGUUCCCAACCACGCUCCGGGACUUGUACCGACCACCGAGCAUUAUAUGCUUGGGGACUAGUCGACCAGCUCGCCCAUUUGAAACUCUGGAGACUGUACCGACCACCGAGCAUUAUAUGCUCGAGGACUGGUCGACCAGCCUGCCCAUUUGAAGUUCUGGGGACUGUAUUGACCACCGAGCAUGAUACGCUCGGGGACUGGUCGACCAGUUCUGCUCCAUCGUAGAUGAGUGCGAUAUGCUCGGGGACUGGUAAAUUUAAUUGUGUAACUUCCAGCUCGGUAAUUUUAAUUUUUUAGACCUUGCUACAAGGUUCAUACUUCGCCUUCCAGCAAGCUCGGGGACUACAUCGGUACGAUGCAUCUAGCGAUACAUGUUAGUAUCAGAAAUUUUAAGAUAAUUUUCUUUUUAGAUCCGGGCACCACGUGCCUACGUCACCUACUACCAGGCUCGGGGACUAAGUGGGCACACUUCACCUUGCGGUGAAUAUGCUUGCUUUUUUGAGGUCUAUACUUUUCAGAAAAGUAAAGUGGGCACACUUCACAAGGAAAGAAUUAUUUUUUCUCAAGAGCACCAUGCAUUCUUCGAACAGCCUACUUCUUCGAUGUCAGUGUUGAUCAACUAUCUUUUGAGUUGGUCAAAAUACCGUUUGAACUGUUUGGGCGACCUUCAUGCUAAUCGAAGAUUUUAAGCCUUGCUGAUCGAAGAAGCUCAAGACGGCGUGUUACAUCACAAUACACGGUGCUCGGGGACUAGCUGUGGGGGUAUAAACCCCUAUACCCUUACGGCCAGACUUGGGCUAGGAGGCUUGGCCCAUUACGAGACAAGUUCGAAGCUUGAUCCGACUGCUCAGAGUUUCGCGCAAGGAAACAAGAUGUGGAGAUCAAGCAGGAUUCUAGUCGGUUAGAAUAGAAAUUGAUAUCGAACUAUUUAUGGCAAUUGUAAUCGACUAGGAUUAGUUUCGAGAUUUGUAACCCUGCUCUGGACUAUAUAAGGAGGGGCAAGGGAACCCCCUAGGACACAUUAUUCUCUCAAGACAAUCCAAUACAAUCAGACGCGCAGGACGUAGGUAUUACGCCCACACGGCGGCCGAACCUGGAUAAAAACCUUGUCUAUGUCUUGCGUCACCAUCAAGUUCGUAGCUUGCGCACCGUCUACCGAUAAACUACUACCGUGGGUAUACCCCAAGGUAGACUGCCGACUAGCUUUCGUCGACAGUAGCAUGCGGAUUCGACGAGGCCAGCGCCUGGUAUCCGUGGACACCACAAAAAUCUAGUUGCGCCUAGUAUCCAUGGACGGAGGGAGUAUUCUAGAAUGUGAUUAAGGAUGAUAUGGUGGCAUUGUUCACAGAUUUCCAUAAGGGAGAAUUGCCUCUACACAGCCUAAACUUUAGAACAAUCAUUUUAAUACCAAAGUCUAAAAGAAGCUAAACAGAGACAACAAUAUAGACCUAUUUGUUUUUUGAAUGUUAGCUUCAAGAUUUUUAGUAAAGUGGCUACUAACCGAACUGUAAAGACACUUGAAUGCAGAAUUACCAUCUGAAAGGUCCUAAUAUGGCUAGAGGGGGGGUGAAUAGCCUAUUUAAGAAUUCUACAAACUCACUAGAGCAAGAGGUUAGUAAAUAACAAAGCGAAGCUUUUUGCUCUAGCUCUAAAGGGGUGUUUGCAAGCCACCUAUCCAAUAAUUCUAGUUGAUAUAAUCUCUAGGCACACAAGAGCUAUGUCACUACUUACACUAGAGAGCUACCUAAAGUUUCUAUACAAGUAAGACACUUAGUAUAGAGGUUAGUACUAGGGUUUCAUCAAUUAUCCAAAACCAAACUAGGGCUUUCACCAUCCCAAACAGCAUUCCUACCUAGGAGAAAUAUAAUGGAGGAUGCAGUUAUUUUACAUGAAAUAAACCAUACACGAGUUACAUAGAAGAAAACAUAAUGGAGUGAUCUUUUAGAUUGAUGUUGAUAAGGCAUAUAACAAAGUGUAUUAGAAUUUCUUACAAUAAGCACUAAGAGUGAAGGGUUUUCAUCUGGUGUGGUUUGAUUGGGUCAGGACUUUUGUUCAAGGUAGGAAUGUGGGCAUUAAAGUUAAUGACCAAUUGGGCUUAUAUUUUUAGACGAGGAAAGGUCUUAGACAAGGUAAUCCACUAUCACCAAUCCUUUUCAAUAUUGUUGUAGAUAUGCUAGCUAUCAUUUUAUGUAGAGCCAAGGAGGAAGGCCAAAUAAAAGGGGUUGUUACACAACUAGUGGAAAACAGUUCUAUCUUGCAAUAUGUAGAUGAAACGAUUCUAUUUUUCAAGAUAUUGAACAGGAAAAAAACUUGAAUCUUUUCUUGGUAUAUUUGAACAAUAAUCAGGUCUGAAAAUCAACUUCCAUAAAAGUGAAUUAUUUGGCUGCAAAAUGGGAUCAUCCCUUUUCGAUAUUUGGGCCUUCCUAUGCAUUAUAGGAAGCUAAAUAAUGAGGAUUGGAAAUUAACUGAUGAAAGAAUUAAAAAAAGUUAAGCGGGUGGAAAGGAAAACAUUUAUCAUAUGAGGUAGAUUAGUGAUGAAUAAUUCUUUGUCAAGCUUACCUAUGUUCAUGAUGUGUUUCUUUUAAGUCCCGAGAGGUGUUCUAAAAAAGAUUGAAUAUGUUGUGCCAACCAAAAGAGCAAAAUAAUGAGCACAAAAAGAAAUAUAGACUGGCAAACUAGAAUAUUUCUUUCGCAAACAAAAGAUUAGGAAUUCAAAAUCUAGAUUUACAAAAUAAGUGUCUUUUGAGCAAAUGGCUUUUCAAACUUUGCAAUGAGGAUGGCACUUGGCAGAAGUAAUAAGAAACAAGUACUCCCUCCAUAUCGGAUCUAGAAGUUGCUUUGGACAAGGUUUGGGUCAAAAAUUGGGAAUAUAAAUCAUCAAUAACUUUUAAAUUAUUGAGUUUACAAAUGUGAAACUUAUAUGAAAAGAUUUGUCUUGAAAAAUAGUUUCAUAAAAGUAUACAUAUAUCAUUUUUUUCUAAAUAUUUUUAUAAAAAUAAGUUGUCAAAGUUGUGUUUUGAAGACCCUGUCACUGUCCUAACGACUUCUAGAUCCGAUACGAAGGGAGUACCUAAAGAACAAGGCUCUAAGUCAAAUUGAAAAAAACAACGAGCUUUCUCAUUAUUGGAAUGGUUUGUUGGAAGUCAAAGACAUUUUCUUAAGUCUUGAGAAGUUUAAACUAGACAGUGGAACUCAAAUUAGAUUUUGGAAGAUAAAUGGUUGGGCACCCAACCCAUGAAAAUCCAAUACCUAAAUUUAUUUAAUAUAGUGCAUAAGAAACAUGGAACAGUGGCUGAUGUACCUAAUUCCGCCCCUCUCAAUGUGUCUUUUAGAAGCGCACUGGAUAGGAACAAGUUGUUGGAAUGGCAAAGUCUAGUUGCAAGAGUUCCUUUUAUUAACGUAAAUGAGUGUCAGGAUACUUUCGUCUAUAUCUUAAAUAAUAACUAGGUGAAUUCUCCGCGCGUUGCUGUGAGAUUUUUUUAAAAAAUAAAUUAUUAUAUACAUAGCAUUACUAUAUGGUAUUCAGUCUAUUAUGUAUGUAUACAUAUGAAUUUGACUUGCAUGUAUUUUAUUGUAUUAGAUCUAGUAAAAAAUUGCUAAGCUAAUAGAACAAAAACUAAUAUUUAGUUACAUUAUAGAGAAAUUAAUUGGUGACGAAACAAAUAGUAUAUGUACAUGACUUGUAUGUUAAUAGAUUAAAGAUUUAAAGUAUUUCAUAUGAUAUAGAUGACAUGGUCAUUUUUCAUAAUUAAUAUGGGAUGACAUGGAUAUAGUGGGGAAUGAUGUGGACACCUUGCAUGAAGAAAUAGAAUAUUUGGUGGGUCACUUAGUGGGGAAUGAUGUAGACACCUUGCAUGAAGAGAGAAUCCAUCUAGUGGGGUUUAGCUUUAUAAGAGUUAUAGAUGACUUGUUUUCUAUUAAAUCCAUGUAAAAGACCUAGUGAAUAAUGGGAUUAAGGUUACCUAGGAAAUUUGGCAUAUGAAAGUGCCCUUGAAGAUUAAGAUUUUUCUUUGGCUCUUAAAAAAGGGGUGGUACUGACAAAAGACAACCUUGAUAAAAGGAAUUGAAAUGGGAGUAAGACUUGUUGUUUUUGUAGCACACCCAAAACUUUUCAACACUUGUUUUUUGAUUGCCAUUAUGCCAGAUUUCUUUGGAGUGUUGUGUUUGUUUUGUUCAGUAUUAUUCCUCCAAUGAACAUGAACCAUCUUUUCAAUAGUUGGUCAGCACUAGGAGGUUCUAAUUAAUCAUAAUCAUCUUUUAUUGGCUGGGGCAGUGGUGUUUUGCUGGGAAAUAUGGAUCACAAGGAAUGAUGUGGUUUUUGACAAAGGUUCUUUGCAGGGGGACACACUGUGAAAGGUCAUUUUUGGUUUUGAUAAUUCAGUGACAACUUAGGUGGACUAAUAGUGUUUAUGUGAGAUACACAGAAGAUUAGUCCAUAGAUGAAUAUGUGAUGAUGAAGAAGCUCAUUGCAUAUGAGACAUGACAUGGGGUCAUGUGACCAAGGUGGAGAAGAUCAAGAUGAGGCUUGGUUUGAUGGACCGGUUGCAAAUGUGAAGGACAAGUUGGAGUCUUUGAAGCGAGGGACCACGUGUGACGGUGAAGCUUGAGCAAGACUUGGCACCGAUAGACCGAAGCAACGGUGAAGAGCAAGUGAGCUCAAGAUCGAUGAACCAAUAUAGUCAUAUGAUGAUAUGAAGUGGAUCAUAUCAUUUGGUGAUUGGUUGGUGCAUCUGUUGCAUCAACAUUGGAGGAGAUGGAAUGGAAAGUGCAAGGCAAAGGUAUAACCUAGGGCUUAUCCAUUCACCGGUCAUAGGUGUGUAGAGAAGUUUAUGGGCGAAUUUAGAAUAGAUGAUUGUACUAUCAAGAGGGACAAACUUGUUUGCAUAUCGGUCAUCUAGUGCUAUUUGAGCGAUCUAACUUUGUAUAUGUUUUAGGAUUGAGUGGCGUGGCAAGCUGAGAGGCUAACUCCAUUGGGAAAAUGUUUGUGAAAUGCUAACACACAUACAUAAUGAUGGUGGACACUUGGUGGUGUUAGCACAUGUACAAAGGAGGUGGAGUUCUUAGUGUAGACAGGGGUUUGGGUAGCGUUCAAUGAGGAGACGCCACGUUCAAUGUGGACCGUCAGAGCGUCUGAUGUGACUAUGUGUGGCGCUCGUGCAAGUUAGCCAUUGGUAGCAAUGGUCGAGUUCAAACGGCUAGUGACAUAUGACAGCACGGAGAGCGUCGGACGCUGGGGUCACGCAUCUGAUGCCUAUCGUCGGCGCGUCUGAUGCCCACACGUUUUGCCCAGUAAAGGGACAACGACUAGUUUAGCCAUUGGGGCUAUAAAUAGAAGUGGUGGUUGGUUUUGGCCGGUUGUUGUUGAUGGUCGAUAACGUCAAUAUUUAUUAGAACUUUAGACACAAGGGAACACAUGAAAACACAUUAGUCUAGGGUUUAAUCUGACAAUUUCCACGAGUUUUGCAUAUUCUGUAUUUUUUAGGGUUUAUUUCAUAGAGAGCUGAAAAGAGGGAUUCUAGUGCAUAUUUACCACGAAACUCAUUCGUGACAGAAAACAUCACGAGAAGACUCAGGAAGGGUCUAGAAGACACCCGAAGGAACGAGACCCGCAGAGGAAACAAGGUGGGGCUAGCUAGCCCCACCCUGGGGCUGGUCGGCGCCCUAUUUGAUCCGAUGCCCGCCGCCUUCUGGAGUCUUUCUCCUACGCCUCCUUGGAAGCCAAGCAAAGUAUCCCUCCAUCGAUUUUAAGUCGGUUUGAUCCGACGGUGCACACAAGAUGAAGACGCGGAUCGCUGACAUGGUGUUUCCUUGCCCCCUACUCCACCUCGGCCUAUAUAAUGACGCCCAAGGCUCCCCCUAAGAGGUAUUAUACACCCCGGUGCUUCAUAUUCUUUACAUAAUUAGGAGAGACUAGUUCUAGUUCAUCUAGUUCUAGUUCAUCUAGAUGUAGCAAUUAGGAGAGACUAGUUCUUCUAGAUCUAGUCUUGUUUAGAUAUUUGAGAGAUUGAGUAGAUGAGUAGAGAUUUUUGAAGAGUUCCAGCCUGUCGACGCUUCUUCAUGGCUAUAUUCGUCUGGAUCCAGUUCCCUCACCCGGAGCUAUGUUAUGAGGUACUUUUGUACUUAUCAUUCCGAUUUAAGUAAGCAACUUGUUCUUAUUCGUUCUUUGGUUCACAACUCAUAUUGAGUGCUUUGAUCUUGGUCAUUACUUGGUUAAAGUAGUAUAUCGUAGUGUAGGCGUGGUGCCUAGGCGAGGUUUACUUGUGGAUGUCCCCUGAUCAGCUGGACAGUGGUAGCUCGUGUAGGUGACUUUAUAGUUGCGUUGAUUAUUCUGUAGUCCACAUCCCGUUGAUAGUACCAAUAGGCUUAUAGGUGCCUGGUAGGAGAUUACUUUAUUUCUUCUCCUAUUCGGGUUACUUGCCCAAUAAGACGAUAUUAUACAAAGUUUACCGGAGUCAGAAUCAGAGUGCAUUAGCUAUUUCCUUUUUUAUGAUACGAUCUAGCCUAAUUGUAGGUUUAAGUCUAUAUACUUUGUCAUCAUCACAACUGUUCCCUGUGGAUACGAUAUUUAAAACCUUCGGGUAAAAUGUGACACUGGUAUGAUAUUUGUGCGCUUGCAGAUAAUCCUACUUAAAACUUAUUUACUGCAGUGCAGUUAAUUUAUACCAACAGUUGCUGAGCACAUCAAGGCCUUGGUGGCUUGGGUGGUGGUGCUUGGGAGCCCUCUAACUUACUCAUGCUUGAUAGUGUUCAUCCGAUGGAGUGAGUGACUGAUUCUAGUGCGGUUGCAUUGCGAGAUUGCAUCGAGUGGCACUAGGUGUUCGUGUUGUAAGCCAGUGGUGCUUGUUAUUCUUGGAGGUUGCCACCUCCUAGACGGCUUAGUGGCUUGUGGCUUUGUCGAAGCACGCAAGGGAUUAUGUGGUGCUCCGGAGAAGAGAUUGUGAGGGGUACGGUGCUCACCCUGUGGGGAUCGCGAAGAGCAAUUCUAGUAGAGCGAGACGUGAAGGGCAACAAGUGGUCCGACCAGGUCAAGUGCUAGAGCUUGUGGUAAGCACUCCAUGUGAGAGAGUGUGACUUGCUGGUCACCACUAGCAAGAGGACCAGUGGCAACCUUAGAGCUUGUCUCAACGGGGACGUAGCUUGGUGGCAACCAAGUGAACCUCGAGAGAAAAUCAUCGUGUCAACAUUUCUUCUUCCCAUUGGUUUGCAAGUUCCUAACACAAGCUUGUAUUUACAUUCAUAUACUCGUGCUUGUGUAGUUGCUCUUGUAAUUAGUUAGCUUGUGUAGCUUGCUAGUUACCUUCUCGCUUGUGUAGCUAGAAGUAGUUCACUUGUGUGGCUAAUUUGGUUUGUGUAACCUUGUUAGUCACAUUGCUUAGUUUGUAUAGCUAAGUAAUUUGCGCUCUCUAAUUUAGCAUUGGUUGUCUUGUUAUUGAGCAUUGCUAGUGAGCUUAGGAGCUUUGUACUUUUGCUUACUAGUUGCGCACAGGAGUUCCCCGGUUUACAAAGUACUAGUGGCAUAGGUUUGUGUGACCUUGCAACUAGAUUUGGUUAGGUGAGCUCUUGCUAAGGAAGCAUUUUGUUUACUUAUUUAGGUUCUUUUACAAGGUGCUAGACAACUUAGUUAGAGGGGUGUAGUCUUGGCUAGACUAUUAGUUUUAAUUCCGCAUUUAUUCCGGUUAGCCGGCGCAAUAAAUUUUAGAAAGGACUAUUCACCUCUUCUCUUGUCUGCCAUCUCGACCCUUCACACCGAUUAUGGUUUUUGGCUCUGUUGCAAUGCUCGGAUGAUGACAAAGAACGGAUUUUUGACGCUUGCAAGCUCCUAGAAUUGAGAACCAGGUAUUUCUUCGCAUCGCAUAGAUGGUCCUUCAUUUAUCGUCUUAAACUUUAGUUCUAAGCCUGUAAUAAGUUCUAAUUAUGGGUGUGCUAAUAAGUUUGGACUGAUGCUUUUUUUUCUUAGAAGAAGGUUGAAGCAGGAAAUUUUUCAUUAUCUAAAAAAGGUAAUUAUAGGGAACUACAAAGAAUUUAAAAAGCUAUUUUAAGCCAAAUACAAAAACAUGCUUGCUACUUCCCUAUUCGAUUAUAUAAUAAACUAAUUACACAGUUUGGUUGAAAAUCGCGAGACGAAUCUUUUAAGCCUAGUUAGUCUAUGAUUAGCCUUAAGUGUUACAGUAAUCCACAUGUGUUAAUGACAAAUUAAUUAUGCUUAAUAGAUUUGUCUUGCACAGACGAGCUAUGAAAUUUGUUUUUUUAUUAGUUUUUAAAAACUCUUUCCGAUAUCCUUCCGACACAUCCGAUGUGACACCCAAAAAAUUUCCAUCUCCAAUCUAAACAGGGCCUCAAUAAUCCUAGCCUGCAGCAUCAUCAUCUUUUAUUUUAUUUUCGUAACAGAUACACUAGUGCAUAUAUCUAGAAAACUGAAUCGGUUCUACCAAUUACAACAGUUUUUGUACAUUCCCCAUGAAAGUGUUUACCUGCUGCUCUGGUGCACACUGCCGGCCCCGCACCGGCACAUAAAUUGGCCUAAAGAUUUUGUCUAAGCUGAGAUGACCGAAUUUCAGUGAAAAUCACCUAUUUUGGGUGAGGCCUAAAAUAAUAUUAUACCGGUCAAAAAAAUUCAACUAAAUUCAUUAUUUUAGUCAAAUCUAGAGUAAAAUUCAUAUUUUUAAAAUUUACCAAUUGUACAUGGAAUUUCCACUCGAGUCCUCUUCCACACAAGCAAAAAAAAGGGUUCUGCCGUCAUGGAUUACGUGUGCUCAGAAAACUGUCGUCAUGCGUGAGAGAAGACUUUGCCAGUCCGUCGUCACGCAUGACUGCUCACACAAGAAAUAACAUCGUCAUUUCAUAUAGUAGAGCUAUUUGAACCUUCAUUUCAUGUAACUCAAACUUCACUGCUAGCCUACAGACAAGAGAGAAAGACAAGAAAACAUCGUCAUUUCAUGUAGUAGAGCUAUUUGAACUAUCAUGUAGCUCAAACUUCACUAGAUGCCGACACACAAGACAGGAAGCCAAGAAAACAUCGUCAUUUCAUGUAGUAGAGCUAUGUAAACCGUCAUUUCAUGUAACUCAAACUUCACUUGUAGCCUGCAGACAAGAGAGGAAGACAAGAAGACAUCGUCAUUUCAUGUAACUCAAACUUCACUGGUAGCCUGCAGACAAGAGAGGAAGACUUCAUCACUGCUAAAGGUGCAAUUUCACAAAAAGGUAGUAAACAAUGGUGAAGGGACAUGGCAUUGUGACAAAUGCAACAAGAGCUUACCAUAUUGCGAGUUUAGAUACUUUGCUGGCGUGCCAGAUCCAGGACCACAUUAGGUACCUAUGCUACUGCAUUCCAAGAGGCUGGUGUCGAGAUGGUUCGUGAGCCACUAGCAUGAAUGCACCACCUCAGGUCGGUCGCAACUGGGCAUGAAUGCAACUUAAAUACAUGUUGUUUCAAUAGCGAGAGUUGGUGAGCCACUCACAAGCUCACGUCAACACCAUAACUCCCUAUUCUAACCAUCAAAGAUUGUUUCUCAUCCAAAUUAUCAUCAUGAGCGGGCUAUAAACAAUUUAACUUAAGACUAGAACAUAAGAUUAGAUCAGAAUUACAAGUUGAAAUAAUAAUUAAAGUCAAAGGAACACUAAUUAACUAAUAAAUAAGGAAAAAAAUUUAUAGUUCGCCGUGAGCUAUUUAAAGGGCACACGGCGAAGACCGUCUUUGCCGUGUGCCCCAGACUAGCACACGGCAAAGAUCCAAGGUUUGUCGUGUGCUUCCAGUUGGCACACGGCAAAGAGUUGAUGGCAGCCAACGGUGGCCGACGGCGUCAGAAUUUUGCCGUCAGCCCCGUGCUAGCACACGACAAAGAGUGCAUUCACCGUGUGUUUUAUUUUCGCCGUGUGUUUUUCCUCGGCACACGGCAAAUGUAUUGACUUCACCGUGUGCUCUUCUGUUCAGCACACGGCGAAGGACGUAAACGCCGAGUGCUAAACGUUUGCCGUGUGCUGGGCUGGGUGGCACACGACAAAUCAGCUCUUUGCCGUGUGCUCGAUGUAUUGCACACGGCAAAGCUACGGGCACACGGCAACCUCCGGUUUUCCGGUAGUGCGCAUGACUGCUCACACAAGAAAUAACUUUGGCACCCUACUGCUGAUGUCCAUCCCGAGUAUAAAACUGUACGAGGAGGAGCACAUGCUGCAUAUACUAGCGCAGCAGACCAUCAGCAGCAAGCUAAUAAUUAGAGCGUUCCACUACAGAAACGAGCCAGGCAGAGUAGAGGAAAUGGCCGGCAGCAGCAGCGAGGAGAAAGCGGUGGCGGCGGUGCAGAACAAGAAGGUGGUGCUGAGGAGGCACGUCACCGGGUUCCCCACCGAAGACGACAUGGAGAUCACGGUGGACACUACCGAGAUUCGUGUGCCGGCGGGGCAGACCGCCGUGCUGCUCAAGAACCUCUACCUGUCCUGUGACCCAUGGAUGCGCGGCCGCAUGACCAAGCACGAAGACGGCGCCUCCGUGCCGGCCACCGACUUUGCGAUCGGAGAGGUAGACACGCAUCGAAAUUAGUCUCUUGUUAAUAAGCGUCACUGGAGGUGUAGAGAAUCACAGGUGAAGAAAAAUCUGUUUGUGCAUGAUUCCUCAAUCAGGCCAUGGUCAACUACGGUGUCGGCAAGGUGAUAGACUCGACGCACCCAGAGUUCACCGGCGGCGACCUCGUCUGGGGGAUGAGUGGAUGGGAAGAGUACACACUCAUCACCCAGCCGGAAUCCCUGCACAAGAUCAACCACGCCGACCUGCCGCUCUCCUACUACACCGGCGUUCUUGGUCAGUAACCUAAUAAUGGCGGAUGCAUUUCGUCUUGUUCCUCCAUUUUCCUUUCAAAAUCUUCCAGUUACUGACAGACGAUGCGCGAUUGAUCUGGAACGACCAGGCAUGCCGGGGCUGACGGCGUACGCAGGGUUCACCCAGGUCGGCAGGCCCAAAAAGGGCGACUUCGUGUUCGUCUCGGCGGCGUCAGGCGCCGUCGGGCAGCUCGUCGGUCAGCUGGCGAAGAUCGCCGGCUGCUACGUGGUCGGCAGCGCCGGCUCCGACGAGAAGGUGGGUCUGCUCAAGACCAAGUUCGGCUACGACGACGCGUUCAACUACAAGUCCGAGACCGACCUCGGCGCCGCGCUGAAGCGGCGCCUCCCCGACGGCGUCGACAUCUACUUCGACAACGUCGGCGGCGCGACGCUGGACGCCGCGCUGCUGCACAUGCGCGACGGCGGCAGGGUCGCCGUCUGCGGGAUGAUCUCGCAGUACAACCUGGAGGAGCGAGACGGCCUGCGCAACCUGUACUGCGUCAUCCCCAAGGCCAUCAGGGUGGAGGGGUUCAAUGUUGGCCGCUUCUUCCAUCUGUACGAGAGGUUCGAGGAGGAGAUGGCUGGGUACAUCAAGGACGGGAAGGUCGCCGUCGUUGAGGACGUCGUCGAGGGUAUUGAAAGCGCACCGGCAGCUCUGAUCGGGCUGUUCUCGGGCAAAAAUGUGGGGAAGCAGGUGGUUGCGAUUGCAAGGGCAUGAGUCCCGAAUUAGCGGUUUUGAUUAAGGACAGGCCCGACAAAUAUAAUAACAUCUUUAAGUGUGAUAAAUAUAUAUAAAUUGAAGUGUAAUCUCAACAAUACUUUUAAUUGUUUUAUACAUGUAGUUCGUAUUCAUGAUCAAAAAAUUAUAAUGCUACGAUGAAAAAUAGGUGAAAUGAUAGUUUGAUGUGCUGUAAAUUGAAAAAAAAAUCAAGGAUAUUAAAUUUUUCCUUCAGUAUUGGGGGUGGUCAUGGCCCCUCGUGGCCAACUCCUGAUCCUGCCACUGCAUGAGUUGAAGCAGGAUUGUUUGGUUGCUAGCCACAAUUUGCCACACUUCACCUUAGGCAUGUUUGACCAAGUUGGCAAGUGUUUGGUUGAUAACUAAGUUUAGACAUGAUUCUUUUGGGCUCCACAUGUCAUAGAGUUAAAAAGUGUGGCAAGAUUCCUUUAGGCAUGGCAAAGUGUGGCAACCAAUUUGCUAGCCACACUUUUUGUGGCUUGCCACACUUUUUGUGGCUUGCCACACUUGCCACACUUGCCAUAGUGACGAGACGUAGUUGUAUGACAUUAUAUUCGCUUCUAUUACUCAUGCUAUGAUGGAAUGUCUAUGUGACAAAAUGCGUAAUAAGGCCUCGUUUAGUUCACUCUGAAAACCAAAAAGUUUUCAAGAUUCUCCAUCACAUCGAAUCUUGUGGAACAUGCAUGAAACAUUAAAUAUAGACAAAAAUAAAAACUAAUUACACAGUUUAGCUGUAAAUCAGAAGACGAAUCUUUUGAUCCUAGUUAGUCCAUGAUUGGAUAAUAUUUGUCACAAACAAACGAAAGUGCUACAGUACCGAAAACUUUUCACUUUUCGGAACUAAACAAGGCCUAAAUUUAUUCUUCAACAUGGUAUCAAAAAUUUGAUGUCUCAAAAGCAAAACAAAGGUCUAUUUAAUCUUCUUCAUCCAAUUCUUUUGUGUAGACAGUUUUAAUGGUAAAUUUUUUUUCGAGAACAUGCGCUGCAUGCAUUUCAUUAAGCGAGGGAAACAGUUUUACAACAAAAGCCCAUGACAGUAAUCCAUAGAUUACCGUCACAAAAUACAGCCAGACCAAAGCAGGUUAAACAGGAAGAAACAAAGAAAAGGCUACUCAACUACUCGCCAGAGGCCAGCAACGCCCCGAGCGCCCCGAAACCAGCAGCCAUGCACCCAGAGUGCUGCUUCAUCAAGGAUAGCUUGCAGAAGAACAGCUGCUGCCGAGAUGAUCUGUCAAAGGUUCUCGCAUUGCGCUCCUUCCAGAGGUUCCAUCCGACAAUGAAGAAAAGAGAGUCAAAGCCUCGAUGGAUUUGCUUAGGAAGCCUUUUCCUUGAAUCGGUCCACCACGCCAUAAUGUCUUGUUCUUUGACUGAAAUUAUGUGCUGCAGCUGGAACCUUCUUAGGCAAGAGGACCAAACCUGGCGGCUGAAAACACAGCCCAAUACAAUAUGAUCUAAAGUCUCAGACGACUGAUCACAAAAGAUGCAGAGGUUGUCCUCUUGAAGCCCACGGCGCCACCUUCUAUCCGCUGUCCAACACCUCUUGUGCAAAGCCAGCCAGAAGAAAAACUUAACCUUAGGGGGUGCCGAAGUUUUCCAGAUGUGGCGAGCUCCCAGAGGUGUGGAAUACUCCAAGAACAUUGCGCCAUAUGCGGAUGCAGCAGAGUAUUGCUGGGAUGCAGCAAACCUCCAGGCGAAUGUGUCCGACGUCCCAGGGGAGAGGUGGACUUGUUCAAGUGAAUGACACAGGCCAAUGAAGUCAGUGAGCAAUCUCAAAGUGUGAUCGCCGGUUAUAUGAUGCACCCAGUUGUGAUUAUUCAGCGCCUCCGCAACGGUGAUGCCCCAUUUUCUCUUGGGCACUGCUUCAAAGAUAGCCUGGGUUUUAAUGGUAAAUGAAUGGUCUAUAUUUCUCAUCUAUCCAUUCUGCUGUUAAGGUAUUGAAGUCCUCUACGACUUUAUACAUUGUGGCAAAAUUAAAUAAAGUCAAUAAGAUGCCCUAUAACAACAAUGAACACGAACCGCAAAAGUUUGACAGGAUUUUAGAACGUGAAUGAAAUUAAUUUCUGCAAUAACUCCAUCUAACCAUCUUCUAAUAAGCUAAUUCAAUCCAUAAAACAUGGUCCAAAAAAGUAGAUUUAAAUUUUGCAUCUCUGAGCAACUCUAAGAGACUCUCUAUAUCAUUCCAAAAUGCUACGAAUACGGAUUUUGGUGAAAAAUUACCCUCAAAUAGUUUCUCUAAAUGGUUAUCCAAAUAUGACCAUCUCUUAUUCAAAAGUUUUCGCUAGCUAAAAGUAGAAGACAAAAAUAACUCUCUAGCGUACGCACGAGAUAUAGAAGAACCGUUGCAGAGUGAAAAGACAUAGAAAGUGAGUUUUUUGACUCUCCAUAUAAUGAUUUAAAUGAUAAGAUUUAGAAAGACUCUUGGAGAUGCUGUCACCUGGGCAAACCGCCACCAAAGGCCAGUGAUCUACUUCUUCCUUCCUUCUUUUUUUUUUACACCACGUGACAAUACUCGCCGCUACGUACUACUAUACCGUCACAUUGCUUCAAUCUAUACCAAACACGGUAGAGCCAUCAAGGAUAUCAAGGAAAAGCAAGAGAUUGUGGGCAAUGCAAAGCAAAGAUAGAUGACACAAAACUGUUUUUGUUUUCUCAGGGGAGAAGAACAAGCAUGAUAGCAUCGGCGGUGGCGACAAGCCUUAAUUCUCUUUCUUCUUCUAUUUUGCCUCUUUUGCUGUUUAUUUCUCCUUUGCAGUUUGCACAUAAAAAUAAAUAUGUGUGCUAGCUAGAUAGAGGUUUUGGAGAGACUAAGAUCAAAAUGUAACUCGAACUGGGCUCAAGCCACACACGCCGACCGAGCUAGCCUGGCGGGCGGCACUAUUCAAACCAAAAAGCGAGCCCGUGGGCCGUGUCCGUUGCGGCCUUGGACCGGACGCCGAGCGAUCCCCUGUGCCGCUGUCUUGGAACUCGAAUCGAAGCGAAUUUAGGCCUUUUCGCCCUGGCUGUCACGCUCUCUCGCGUAGUCGUGUCAGCUGGGUCCGGCCGGGAAAUAUCUCGGUGUUUAGUAAUGUGUCGCUGCUGGAUGGGGAUCUGUCGUGACUCGUGACCGUCACGCUAAUUCAAAGAGUAGUGCUAUCUCGAUCGCGAAUGGGGAACGUUUGUUCUAGUUUUACCCAAGAGCAAAAUGACCUCUCUAGCUCCUCAAUACUUCGCCUUUUUGAAGUUUAUGAAUAUACGGCAAUGAUUUUUGUAGAAAUUGUCUACGAUAUAAGGCCAAGAGGGGUAUCAAAACAUAUGUCAAAGUAGACACAUAGAUAUUUUUUUCAUUAAAAGGGUGUUUAGAACUGCUCCAACUCAUCAGAAAAUUAGAGUUUGUAAAACACAUCUUUAGAUGCUCUUACAACUCUACUCUUUUUUUUUGAACACAGUGCGCGUAGGUAAAACUGUUUAACUAAAGAACAUAGAGCAAAGCAGUCUCAAACACCUCCAAAGAUGACAAAAUUUAUUGCUAUUUUUAUUAGAUGAAGGAAUCGGUACUCACAACAUUAUAAAUAAUUUUUGGUGUUUAUAUAUUUAUAGAUAUAUUGCUUUUAAUUGCAUAUUUAGAUAAAGUGUAUAUAUAUACAUCUAGAUACAUAGUAAAAACUAUAUAUUUAAAAAAGUCAAAGUAUUUUAUAUUUAAAAUAGACAGAGCACAAACAAAGUACAAAAAUAGAAACCACUAAAAAAAGAAACAGCUACAUGAGGAAGACGAAGUCUGGCUAAGGGGACAGAAUAAGACCCAAGGACACAUAGGCAAUAGUGGGCAGUAGUAUUGAUGUUAUCAAUUUUUAGCAUGACUUUGGAACUAGAGAUCACUAUUAGAAUAAUGGAACUCUCCUCGUGUUUUUAAGUAGUAAUAAAAUACAACCAUUAUAAGAAUCUUAUUAGAAGGCAUUUGGUAAGGAAAAAUUUAUACUAAAUUUUGAAUGUCAACACACUAGGAGGACCUCUCACCUCACUAGGAGAAAUUUAAUAUUCUGGUUAUGGAUGUCCGAUAAAGAUAUAUUAAUUAAUGUUGUAGGGCAUGUCGUUUUUGUGUAAGAAAAGGUGUUUGCAGGUUGAGACUUAAGAACAAAAGCACUGUGCUCAAUUAGUUAUAGGGUUUCAAAAUUGAAUUUUGGCUCAAGAAAAAAAAUCAUGUUGAGACCAAACUAAUUUUUAGUACUCUCUCUAUCUCUCUCUCUCUCUCAAUAAAAAUAUUAUUCCCCAUUUUUAGUAUAUAGUAAUGUGUUUGUUUUUCAUGAAUGCUGAGAUCAAGCUAUAUAUAUAUGCCGUUCUUGUGAGUUCUGACAGAAUUAGUUGAGCAAAUGGUUACGGUUUCUUAAAAGUAUCGGACAGGAAUUUCUAAAAGUAAAUAAUCUGUUAUCAUAAAUAAGAUAUUGGAAGCAAAUAAAUAAACUAGCCGUAGUGUGAGAAGCGUUAGGUUCACAUUGAACAAUUGAUGUGGAUGUUUGUAUUUUUUUUUAAAAAAAAUUGAUUCUAGGAUUUAGCAGGGCUCUCUUUUUAGCGGUGUGCCCGUCGAUAACAAUAAACAUACGGUAACUUUUUCAAGUUCCAAAAAUACCAAUGAAUGAUCAUGGCCUACCAUGUUAUCUUUUAUCCUAUUUUUAUACUGUCUCCGUCCCUGAAAGAAUAGAUUUCUAGCAAGUUUCAGACAGAUUAGCAUAGCUGCCAAAUGACCAAGUUACCCUUAAUUAAUAUGAGUUUCACCAUUAAGAUGCACAGGAAUCACUGCUUUGGGCUACGAUCUGUUCACGUCAUUUACUCAUCCAGCCAACUGUCCACCGCAAAAAGGAGUGGGGACCAUAUAUCCAGCCAACGACGCCACGCUCACGCAGCAGAUCCUCUGUGCGUCUUUGAUGCCACGAUGAAUACGAGGCGAGUAGUGGGACCAUAUAUCCUAGAAAUUGAAUUAUUUGGGGAUAAAUUUUUAGGCCAGAAAUCUAUUCUUUCAGGAACGGAGGGAGUAACAAAUACAUUUGUUGUUUGUACAUAUGCCACCACCAUAAAUGAAAUUUGUUCUUCACAAAUCGACAGCCUUUGUUGUGUUUUUCCGAAAAAAUUGUAGUCCAAUCUGCAGCACUGGUACAAAGGCGGGCUUAGUGGGACCACACAGGAUCAAAUUGUUCGAUGUAGCCAUUAGUCGCAAUCAGUUAUGUUUGAACUUUGAAGUCAGCAAUUCCACCACACAGGCCCUCUUUGCAAAGAUGAGCAUGAUUCUCUAGGUAUAUGAUCCAAGGUCACACUCAAUUUAAUUAGGGCCUCUUUGGUUCUCAGGAAUUGAGAGGAAUUGAAAAGUUUUAAAAAAUAAAAUGGGAAGCACUCUCUAGAUAUUGAUCUCAAUUCAUAGGAUCCAAAAUUUUGGCAUGACUUACGUAUCUCGUGAUGCUGGUUAAAGAUAUUUUCUUAUGUUUUUGGCUCGUCGUUUUCGGGUCAGAAAAAUGUGUGUGGAAGUUUGAAAUUAAAGUUUGAAACUUAACAAGAAAAACUACAUGGAAUCUUUCAUGGAUUAAGCACGGUCAUAAAACCGCGUCGUCAUGCCUGAUGUCAUGACUCACAAGAGAAACGACUUGACACUUGCUGAUGCCUGAUGUCCGUCGAUAAAACUGUACGACAGUUCAUGCUGAAUCGGCAGUUGCAUACCCCAGACGAUAAGCAGACUAAGCGUCCUAGGACAACCAUCCCUUUGGCCUUUGGGAGAGAAAAAUGGCCAGCAGUGGCGAGGUGAAGGCGGCGGCGGCGGCGGUGCAGAACAAGAAGGUGGUGCUGAGGCGGCACGUGACCGGGUUCCCCACUGAAGACGACAUGGAGAUCACGGUGGGCACUGCCGGUCUGCGUGUGCCGGCGGGGCUCACCGCCGUGCUGAUCAAGAACCUCUACCUGUCCUGCGACCCAUGGAUGCGCGGCCGCAUGACCAAGCACGAGGACGGCGGCAUGCCGCCGGACUUCGUCAUCGGAGAGGUAGGCAUAAUCAAAAUCUGAAGCACUAUUGAUCUGUUUCAGAGAUGCAGUCUUUCAGACGACAAAUUUGCAUCAGAGAUCGAUGAGGUGAAGCAAUUUUCGUGAUGUUUUGAUCCAUCAGGCUUUGGUCAAUUACACUGUGGGCAAAGUGUUGGACUCGACGCACCCGGAGUUCAACGCCGGCGACCUCGUCUGGGGUAUGAGUGGAUGGGAGGACUACACCCUCGUCACCCAGCCUGAGUACCUGUACAAGAUCAACCACUCCGAUCUGCCGCUCUCCUACUACACCGGCGUUCUUGGUCAGCGAUCUCUACAAAUUCAUCUGCGUUUUGCUUUAAAAUUCUGCCGGAUUGCCCAAUGAUCCAAUGUUUCCUGCCGUCGCCAUCCAGGCAUGCCAGGUCUCACUGCAUACGCCGGCUUUUUCGAGGUCGGCAAGCCCAAGAAAGGCGAUUUCGUGUUCGUCUCGGCGGCGUCCGGCGCCGUCGGGCAGGUCGUCGGGCAGCUGGCCAAGAUCGCCGGCUGCUACGUGGUCGGCAGCGCCGGCUCCGAUGAGAAGGUCAGCCUGCUAAAAACCAAGUUUGGCUACGACGACGCCUUCAACUACAAGUCCGAGACCGACAUCGGCGCGGCGCUGAAGCGGUGCCUCCCCGACGGCAUCGACAUCUACUUCGACAGUGUCGGCGGCGCGACGCUCGACGCCGCGCUGCUGCAGAUGCGCCAUGGCGGCAGGGUCGCCGUCUGCGGGAUGAUCUCGCAGUACAACCUGGAGGAGCCCGACGGCCUGCGCAACCUGUUCUGCAUCAUCCCCAAGGCCAUCAGGGUGGAGGGGUUCAACGUCGGUGGCUGGUUCCAUGUGUACGAGAGGUUCGAGGAGGAGAUGGCCCGGUACAUCAAGGAGGGGAAGGUCACCG